rnacentral:lncRNA from 1 species
AGAAGAAUAUUUCAAACAAAAAUAUAUACAAUAAAUUCUUUUUAAAAAUUUAUGCCUCAUAUUAAAUUUUGACCCCGCAUAUACUUGAGCGGCCCCUAAUUUCUUGGCGUUGAGCUAUCUGCAUGGAAGCCAACUCCCAUGUCGCUUACUACUACGAUGACCCUUACUUGAUUUCUGCUCCGUUACAUAUUCACAAGAUCUAAUCAUAUCUUAUAAUUACCUACACUAUCUUGACUAUGACAAUACGUAAAAGAUUUGUAUCAUACUUUAUAUUCAUAAUACGUAGGAAGCUAACUCAAUCCAAAAAGUAUUAAAAUCUCAUGUUGAGUCAUUAUGGUUUUAGUAUUCUCAAAAGAAUAAUUCUUUUUCAAGGAAGAUUAGACAUAUCGCGUGUGGACAAUAGAAGCAAGGUGAUGAUGGCUACUCACUUCAUGCAUUCACACGUAUUAUUAGCAUAGUUCCAUGACCUUUUUGGAUCCUAAAAAAGUUUCAUAACCUUUUUACUAUUGAUAUUAUUGUUAUUUGUUUUGCCAUUAUUUUAAGAUAAAAUAACCAAAGUAAAUAUAGUUGUGGAAUAUAGGUAUAUAAUAUAAAAUCAUGCUACUGUUUUAGUAGUAAACCAGUAAUAUGAGUAUUGAAUAUCUUAGAUGUAUAAGAAAGCAUAAAGAAGUAUAUGGGCAAAAGCAGAUGUAGAAAUUGACUUGGUUUUGCCAGCCUUUGUCCUUUCUUCAAUUUCCAAAGAAGCACCUCUACCUUUUAAUGCACUUAACUAUUUUGAUAUUUCAACAAAUCGUCUCUACCCUACUUUUAUUCCUAAAUCCUAACUAAGACACAUGAUCUUAGAGUUUUUUUUGCAAAAUUUCUUUCCUGAAGGACAAUGUCGGAUGGGAUAGGAUAGAUCAUAAAAAAUAAAAAAUAAUAAACAAAAUUAUAGCUAUUGUCGUUUGUAGAGCUUAAUAAGUAAAAGCUGAAUCGGGAUUUAAGCUUUAUGGUUUUUAAAUUUUAGGAUAGUAUCAUCCGGUGUUAGUAAAUGGGUUUUGAAUUUAAUAUUUAGAUAUACUUAGUGAAUUUCAUAAUACAAAUACAUGAUUUGAACUAAAGCUAUUGAGUUUAACUUAACUAGUACAUCGACUUCUAGCUCCACUCCUGUCAAUAAAAGGUUGAGACCAAAAUGUUAAAUAUAUUUGAGGAAACAAUCGAAAAAUAUGAACGCAUGUUCAUAUCUAUCACUAAAUUAGAUAAAAUACUUUUUUUUUUAGUAUGUUCCAAAAUAAGUGACACAUUUCUAAAUUUAGAAAUAAUUCAACUUUAAACUAUUCAUUUUACUCAUUUUACUCUUAAUGAGAAGCUUUUAUAACCACACAAAUAUCAUGGCCCCACAAAGUUUUUACCCCUUAAGUUUUUAAGGUCAUAAGUUUCAAAAGUCUUUUCUUUUUUGUUAAACUUCAUGCAGAAUGAAACUAACUCAUCUAAAUUGAAAUGGAUGGAGUACUAUUUAGCAAUAUGUAUCUGAUACCAUCUACAUCGAUGUUCACCACCAAAAUUAUUAAAAAGAUCUCUCUUACUAUUAAGACAUAGAGGAAUAUAACUGGAACACCCUCUGAAUAUAGUCGCAAGAAGUUAUUUUAUUUUAUUUUUCUUGUUUAUCCAAAGUGAGACAAAGAAAUAAAAAAAUCGUAGCUGCUUCUAAUUUCACCUAACUAAUAGUGUUCCGAACCUAUUUUCUUUUUGGUACAUUUCAAAAAGAAUGAACUUUUUCUAAAUUUAGAAACAAUUUAGUUUAAACUUCAAAUUAUACCUUUAAUGAGAAGUUUUUAUAACCAAACAAUUACUCUGGAUUUCUUUUAACUUAUUUAGGACCACAAAUUUCAAAAGUCUUUACUUUUUUUUAAACUCCGUGUCCACUCAAACUGCAUCACAUAAAUUGAAACGGGAGUACUGUUUUAGUUAAAUGGAUUUUCGUAACCUUUUAAAAGCAUUCCACUAUCUCAUACGUAUUGUUUUAUUCGACCUAACAAUCUUAUGUUCAUAGGUUGGCCGCUUUUAGAUGUCUAUUUCCUUUUCUUUCUUCUUUUCACCAACCCAUUGCUGUCUUACUUCCAAUUUCCAAAAGUGGAAACUCCUGUAGAAGUAACAAGUGCCCCCAAGAGAGUUGAAUUUUUCCCCGAUUAGCCCUUAACUCCUAAAGUGCGCAAAUAUUAAUUUAUUUUAGGAACAGAAAGACAAAGAAUCUUGAAUAAUAAUGCUUAAUUGGUAAGUAUUACUCUGACAUUUCUCCUUCCUUUACCACUUGCAAAUCAAGAGAGAACGUACUUAACUCACAGCUACCAAGCUUCAGAAGGGUUAAUUAAUAGUCUUAACCGUGUACUUAUAAGACCACAAACUGAACACAAUUAACAUAAAUAAUCUGCCACACCUCCUUUUUCCCGCAGGAUAGGGAUAGCGGAGUUUUUCCAAUUUAAGUGACAUUAAUCGAAUUGAGAUUAUUUGUUUAUUUUCAGAGUCGUCACUCGAAAUUAUUUAUUUACGGUGUUCCGAGUCACCAUUUAUUUUAAAAUCUCAAAUCGAGGAAGUUUUGACUCUGUUUUAAAGUCUGCAAAAACCAAAAAAUCGGGUAAGGAAUUCUGUUAACCCGGGAGAAGGUGUGAGGCACUCCCGAGUUUCGUGAUUCUAGCAUGGUCGCUUAACCAUUAAUAAUUGGCCUAAUUAUCUGAUUUAUUAUAAGUUUUAAACCUAUUGUGCAUUUUUAACCUUUUACCGCUUAUAAUUAUUUAUGGAAUUAUUUUGGAACAAGUCACGAUGUCGUACACUUGUCGUUUUGGUACACGUCGCAAACCGCGACACAUGAAAUGCACCCGCAAUUUACGACGUGUUUAUUUUAAUUAUUGUUUGAAGUUAUGGUCGGGUCACAUGAAAUCCACACCCGAAUGGGAUUUACGUAUUACGACUAUGCCACGGGAACCGUACCCAUAGUUUUGAUGAUUUAAUUACGCGCCUAAAGCAAACUACAAUGUUUAUGGAUUGUUAAUAUCUAGGUUUGAGAUAAAAACAUGAAGGUCAUUUGUUUUGGAUGGACUGCAGAUAUUCUCGCCUAAGUCCGCUGGGGGUGAUGAAUUGGUAAAAAGGAAAAACUCUUAUUAAGGAUUUCAACAUGGCCCAAGUAUAUAGGAUGGGCCUAAGACAGAUUCCAAAUUUGUAGGGCAUGGACUGAAGUUAUACUAAAAAAAGAUUCAUAGAAUCUUCAAUUUAUAAAUACAUCGUACUCAAAAAACCCUUCAGGGUCUGGCCCAAUUAUAUUAGCUUGACUAAAAUGAAACUGGCCAUCAUGACUAGCCCAAUAGCACAGGAAGAUUACAUUGCACAAAGAAGCAUUAAUUAAUAAUUUAAUAAGCAUGAGAAUUAGGAAAAAAAAAACUACUAGUUAACAGUUUAAUUAAUUACAAGUACUAAAGAGUUCGCAAGAAUUUCACACGAUGCUAAAUGUAGUAGGAUUUACAAAGUUUUUCCCUAAUAUUAAUCUACAUGCCAUUAAUGAAUUAAAAUAAACCGUGACAACCACUGUAAUUAUCACUUAAUAUAUCUAAACACAUAUUUCCAAAACUCAAUACAAUGGAGCUUAAGGUUACAACAAACUGUCCAUUAAUCAAAUUUUCCUAACAAGACAAAAAAAAAAACUAAAUGAAAUUGUCUAAAACUUUAUUAGAGCUGGUUCUAUUUCAGCUGAGCCCUCUCCCAUAGAAUCAAUCUCCUGGAUCUUACUCCAUUUGCCAGAUUCUCACCUUACAUGUUCCUGAUGCAAUCAUGACUUACUCUGAUUUACACAUGGGUUGCUGUGGGCUGAUUCCAUGUCCUUAACUCAAACAAUGCUCAAUGGUCACUACUCAAAAUGCCGUAAAUUUCAUAAUAACAAUUAGUUCAAUUGAAUGCAAAUAAACCAAGUCUAGAUCCAACUUUAUAAAGGUUAUGCAGAUUUAACUCAUUUCAAUCAUGAACUAAGCUUAUACAAAUAUCAUUUAGCUUGAAAUCAAUUAGCUAUACCUUAACUAACUAAAAAAAACACAGCAACAGAAUCAAUAAGCACAGCUAAACAGAAUUCACAGUAGCAUUUGAAAUAGAAUUCCAGCUUUCAUUAAAUAUCAAGUUCAACAUUUGAGGUUUCAGAAUAUACCUAGAUGCAGAAAACAGCACUUAACAAGACCAAAUAAAGGUCAGAAAACCAGAAGGGCAAAGCUCAGCAAUCCAAAAACAGCAGCAGCAAACAAAUAAUAACAAAGAACAGCUCCAGAAUCAAACUUCAAACUUGAGAUAUCUUAGGAAUUCUAUGUGUGUUUUUUCUACUAUUAAUGCAGGAAUUGAAAAGGAAAAUGCAAGAGUUUUCUAUUGAGAAUGCAGAGAAUUCAAUGUGUUUUCAAAUAAAUCAGUGUGUGUGUUAUGAAAGAAUGUGAGUGCCUUUAUAUAGAGCAGGGAUGUAAAGGGAUAGGAAUGAGAGGUAUUCCCUUAAAAUCAGGAAAUAGGCAUCUUCCAAAACAGAAAAAUGGACAGCUGUCCAAUUUCUGGCACCUUCCUAAAACAGAAAAUAGACAACUGUCUAAUUUCUGGAUAUUUCACUCUUAUCCUUAUCUUUUUUCUAAUCAGCUUGGGACAUCUGUCCCUGUUCUAGAAACUUCCUAUCUAUUUUACCUUAUUCCAAUUAUUUUAUUACACUUUAGUCCCUACCAUUAUCUUCUAGAACCUUCCAGACACUUCUAGAUUUAGACUCCCUGAUUUUAAUUUUCAAUUAACUCCCUUAAGGUUUCUAUUAUUACCCCUUCAACCCUUUUAAUUCCAAUUGACAUUCAACAUCAGCAACCAAACAAUCAAAAACCAACUCAAAGAUCAAAUGAAAAUAGAAACAAACGACUAAUUCACCUAACUACAUUACUAAACUAAUUAAAUCAAUUAAAUUAAUCUAAAUAAUAUGCGAUUAAACUAAAUAUCAUGCAAUUAACUUAAAUAAACCUAUUUUAAUUGAACUAAUCAAAUAACAAAUUAAACACCUAAAAUCAGUGAUUCAGAGAAGAAAAAAAUAUAGAAAAGAGAAAUGAGGGUAUACCUAAAUCGGAUUGACUUGACAAAAGAGGUCUAGUUGCCAAAACUUCUUUUGCCAAGAUACCCGUCUGGAACGUGAAUCCCUGACAGGAGAUCUUGGCAGGAGGAUCUUUGAACAAACUAGUUAAGGGCUGAGGUUUGAUUAGAAGAAAAAAUCAGAAAAGGGGAAAAUCUAGGAGUUUGGCUUUUUUAGAUCUGAAAUUGAAGGGAUUUGGUGAGGGAUUUGGGAAAACUAACGGUAUAUUUGGGUUGAGGGUGAAGAGGGGAUUGUAGGGUAGGAUUUUGAGGCGGUUUGGAGAUCGAUCGCCGCCGUGGGCGAUUUCUGGCGGCGGUUUAGGGCGGCUAUUAGAGAGAGGUGAGAGAUGAAGGGUGAGGGGUUUAAGGUAUGAUUUUGGGUGUAUUUGGAGUGUCGCCGUCACCGUAGGCAGUUUUCGGUGUGCAGCGACAUCGGAGGAUUUUGUGGCGGCUAGUAAGUUGGGGGGAGAUGGAGAGUGAGGGAGUGGAGGGGUUAGGGGUGUUAGGACAUAUAUAUAUAUAUAUAUAUAUAUAUAUAUAUAUAUAUAUAUAGGUUAGGGUAGGGGAGUUCCGAGCCGUUAGAUCCAAAAGGAUCAACGGCCAGGAUUGCUCAUAAUUAAAACGGGGUCGUUUUAUUGGUGGGGGAUUUGGACCGGACUAGGGCUUGAGCUGGGCGAGAUUUGGUUAAAGGAAUUUGGGCCAUUGAAGCUUUGGCCUAGUUAUAACACAUUUCUUUAGUUCCUCUUCUUUGUAUUUUCUUCUUUCUUCUUUUUUUUUAAAUAAUUUUAAACCCUCAACUAAUUAAUUAAAAACCUAGAUUAGGUCCUAAAUCAAAUCUUAAUUAUGAAAUGACCCUAAUUAACUAUUUCUUACAUUUGAACAAUUAAUUUACUUUAAAACUAAUGAAGGAAGUUACUAAUUUAAAACUAGAAACUAAAAAUGAGCAAUAUUAUUUUUUUGAUUUUUGUUUUAAUAGUGCAUUCAACUUAUGCAAUUAGAUUCUAAAUGCAAUUAAGACUUACAAAUGCAAUGUAAUGAUGAUUUAGAUAUUUUUUGCUAUUUUCUAUGAUUUUAAAAUGCUAAAAAUGCAUGAAAAAUGCGACUAAAUACAAAUAAUUACCAAAAAUUCUUAAAAAAUCUUAAAAAUAAAUAAGAAAAAUCUAUUUAUUGAUUUUGUGGAAGUAUUUUUGGUGAGGCAAAAAUUACAUGCUCACAUAGUCAAGUACCAAUUGAGAACUGAUAGUGAUUAUGUGACGUUUGUACUAUUUCUGCUGAUACGUUCGAUGCUAGCACACUUCGUCGAAUUAAUCAACAACAAAAAAAUACAGUUGAGAAAAAAAAAUUGUGACUUGCUUUACCUUUGGUAUGUCUUAUGUGGUCUAUUUAGACUUCAAGCAUGGACAAAUUUGUUUGAUCCUGCUCAAGCACCAAAUCAUGGUAAUUUACUAUGAUUAAGUGAUCAAUGUAGAUAAAGGAUUCAUGUUAUUUAAUUACGGUUAAGUAAUAAAUCUUAUAUAAUAGACAUAUCAUGCAUGCAUUACUUUGAUAGUUUGACGCAUAGGUUGCGUUCGGGAUGUAUUUUUCCUUUAAUCAUUUAGGGUGCCCAAGAUAAGUAUUCAAAGUAAACGGCAAUUCAAUCAACUGCAGUUUCUUCCUAUUUUCGUGUUCUUUGGAAAUGUCAAUAGUUGUUACUUUCUUAUUACUAAAUUUAUCUUCUUCUUUUUCUUUUUCUUUUUUAUUAUUAUUACUCUUUCUCGAAGAAGAUUGUCACAACCCAAAACUAAAUCAUGUCGUGAUGGCGCCUAUCAUGGUACUAGGCAAGCCGACACAUUACCAAAACACAUCGAUAUUUCAUUUAAAAGAUAAGUCAAAUCUUUUCAUAAUAGAAUCUUCAUAAAGGAGUUCAACUCAAAAUAAAAAUGCGAAAAAGACAGCCCGACAUCGGGGUGUCACUAAGUCAUGAGCAACUACUACAAACUAUCUGAUAACAACAAGACUAACAUAGUCUGGGAGAAACCCAUACAACUAACGGGAAGAUAAGGAAGAAGAAAAGCAGGGCUGCGAUCGCCAGGCAGCUACCUUGCUAUCUCUGAUGAUCCGCUACUGAGUAUAUCAACAACCGUUACCAUGGCCAAGAAUGUCUGGAUCUGCACACAAGGUGCAGGGAGUAACGUGAGUACACCAACUCAGUAAGUAACAGCAGUAAACAAAGGCUGAGAAGUAGUGACGAGCUAGAUACAAGUAUAGUUCAUAUCACAAAAUUCAGUAAGGUACGGCAUGCUUUAAAACCAGUGUUUAAGUCAAAUCAGCUUGUUUAAAUCCAGUUCAGGUAAAAUCAAUUAAAAAUAUCUUUCAACAGUUCUCAAACAAGGACUCAAAGUAUCUAUGAGCCCAAAUGAUGAAAUCAUAUACCGCCCCUCGGGAAAACAUCACCCAAUCCUCCCAAUCACUCCAACCUCACAAUCACUCAUGCCUCACAAUCACUCAGCACUCGGCACUCGGCACUUGCACUCAGUAGGUACCUGCACUCACUGGGUAUGUGUACAGACUCCGGAGGGGCUCCUUCAGCCCAAGCGCUAUAUCAAUGCCCAUCAUGGCAGAAUCAAUAAAACAUACUGCAGCGUGUAGCCCGAUCCCAUAAAUGUCCUCACAAAUUAGGCCCUCGGCCUCACUCAGUCAUAAAUCUCUCCAGUCUCUCUGGCUCUCAUAAAUCAAAGUAAUCAGCCCAACCAACAUUGAUAUGAUGCAUCAAAUAAAGUAACAGAGACUGAGCUAUGAUGUAAAAAUGUAUGAACAUGACUGAAUACAGAUUAUCAACCAAAACAGUGAGAGGACAGCAAGAAAAAACCUCUAAAGAUCCAAACAAUACUGGCAUAAGGCUUAAACAUGGCAUCCAGCAUGAUUUACAGUACAUCUUUCUAAAACACAUAGGAAGCAUAUAGCUACAACAGGAUAUUCAACUUUAAAGUUGCUAAGGGACGGACCAAGUCAUAAUCCUCAACGGUGUACGCCCACACGCCCGUCACCUAGCAUGUGCGUCACCUCAAAAAAUAGUCACGUGACACAAAAUCCGGGGUUUCAUACCCUCAGGACUAGAUUUACAAUAGUUACUUACCUCAAACCGAGCAAAUCUCUACUCCGCGAUGCUCUUGCCCCUCGAUUCGGCCUCCAAAUGCUCCGAAUCUAGUCACAACCAGUACAAUACUAUCAACAUAUGCUAAAGGAAUAAAUUCCACAAGGAAAACUACAAAUUAGACUCUAAACCCGAAACUGGCUCAAACCCGCCCCCGGGCCCACGUCUCAAAGUCCGAAAAAAGUUACAAAACUUGAAAGUCCAUUCACUCACGAGUCUAACCAUACAAAAUUUAUCAAAAUCCGACAUCAUUUGGUUCCUCAAAUUAUACUCUCCAAAAUCCCAAGCCCUAACCCCCUAUCUUUACUCCUAAAUCCCACUAAUUAGAUGAGAAAAUAAUGGGAAAACACCAUAGCUAGGAGUAUUAGAGCUCAAGUAACUUACCUCAGUGAAAAUCCCUUGAAUCCCCUUCAAAUAUUACCCCAAAAGCUCCAAGGUCCAACUUGAAAAUGGUGGAAAUGAGUAAAAAUUCGCGAAGUCUUCUAUUUAUAGGUUAUGCCCAGGCUUUUUGCAUCUGCGGCUCAAAAUGCACACUUGCGGAGCCGCUUUUGCGCAACAAUCUCCGCAUCUGCGGAAAAUCACUUAAGUGCCAUCUCCUCACCUGCGCUCCCUAUCCACUUUUGUGACCUCGCAAGUGCGGAAAAGACCUCGCACCUGCGGCCACUGCCAGUCCUCCUCUCUUCUGCUUCUGCUGGAAACUACCCGCUUCUGCGGGCUCACUGAUGCGCACACCCAUUCGCACCUGCGGUUUUUCCCAAUCCAACUCACUUCCGCAUCUGCGCCAAUCCUACCGCACCUGCGGUAAUACCCUCGCAUGUGCGAUAACACCAGCAGUAGGCCAACUUCAACAAUUCUCCAAACGUCAAACUUGAUCCGUUAACCACUCAAAACACACCCGAGGCUCUCAGACCUCAACCAAAUAUGUCAAAAUGUCAUAUAACCCCAUACGAACUUAGUCGAGCCUUCGAAUCACCCAAAACAACACCAAAAUACGAAAUUACCCUCGGAUUCAAGCCUAAGAACUUCUAAAUUUCUAAAUUUUACAAAUAACGUUGAAACCUAUCAAAUCACGUACGAAUGACCUCAAAUUUUACACACACAUCACAAAUGACACCACAAACCUACUCCAACUUCCAAAAAUCCAUUCCGACCCCGAUAUCAAAUUUUCCACUGUCGACCAAAAUCGCCAAAUUUCUAAUUUUCGCCAAUUCAAGCUUAAUUCCACUAGGGACCUCCAAAUUACAUUCCGUACGCACUCCUAAGUCCAAAAUCACCUAACGGGGCUAACAGAAUCAUUAAAAUCCAAAUCCGAGAUUGUUUACACAUAAGUCAACAUCCAGUUAAUUUUUCUAACUUAAACUUAUCUCAAAGAGACUAAGUGUCUCAAUUCACUCUGAAACCACUCCGGACCUGAACCAACUAACCCAGUAUAACACAAUAAUGUUGAAUAACACAAAAUAAGCAGAAAUGGGAGAAACGGGACUAUAACUCUCGAAACGACCGGUCGGGUCGUUACAAAGAUGAUGGACAUAAAGUCGAUUUAGUGGGAAAGAGUAGACUAUAAUUGACUGAAGAAGUGUCUGUUUUGGGAAAUAAAAUAGGGAUCUUUACGCAAAUGGACGGUCAAAUUCGCUGUUUACUCUUUUUAGGUAAUAUACAUAGAUGAUACAAUAAUUAUACACGAUUAUACAUAUAUUAUUUAUAGAUAUAUAUAUAUAUAUAUUAUAUAGUCGACGGCUAUUUUAGGUUUAAGCACUUAAGUAGGCGGUAUACUGGUUAGAAAAAGCAAACAGUAAAUUCGACCGGCUAUUUGGAUAAAGAUACCUAUUUUAUUGAAAAUAAAUUAUUUCCAGUUUCAAAUUGCUGAGGUGUUUGUGUUUAAUAAAAAAAUAGUUUUUAUGGUCAAAACAAAUAAAAGUAUAAUUCGAGUGUCUAAUAACCAAUUUUACUUCACUUUUUCAAAUACAGAUGAAUAAUAAAUAAUAAAAAUAGAAUAUUGAGAUAAUAAGAAAAAAGAAAUCUUAUUGAUAAUUCCAGCUUCCUUCCAAAAGGAGAGAAUAAGAUCUUCAAAUAGUAGAGAAUAAAAAUAUAAAUAAUUGAUAGUAUAAUUUUGUGAAUUUCUUGAUGAGAGUACAAGAUAUGGUAAGAGGGUAUAUAUAAGGGUACAAUUUGUAACUGUCUUACCCUACUUAAUUCAUGCCCGUACUAAUAUUUAUUAUAUUGAUUACCCGUUACAUGGGUGAUUUGCAAUGGUUAUGGUAAUGUAACGAUCCGACCAAUCGUUUUGAGUAUUUUUACUUCGCUAUGUGGUUUGAGAGCAUGAGUAUCUCCGUAUGAUGUAUUAUGACUUAUGUGAAUCGUCAGUUUGGUUUUUAGGUUAUUCAGAAUUGAUUUGGAAGAAUAAAUUUCAUGAUUGAAGCUUUAAAGUUGGAAGAGUUGACCAAGUUUGACUUUUGUGAAUUUGACCUCGGAUUGGAGUUUUGAUGGUUUCGUUAGGUCCGGAUGGUAAUUUUGGACUAGGGCGUAUGCCCGGAUUUGUAUUUGGAUAUUUCUAGAAGGUUUCGACGCGAAUUGGCGAAAGUUGGAAACUUGAAGGUUUGGAAAGCUCAUAAGUUUAACCGGGAGUUAAAUUUGAGGAUAUCAUAUUCGGAUUGUGGUUCCGGAAAUUGGAAUAGUUUUUAUGUCAUUUGGGACUUGUGUGCGAAAUUUAAGUUCAUUCCGAGUUGAUUUGAUAUGUUUCAACACGAGUUUUGAAAGUUGAAAGUUCAUUAAGUUUGAUUUGAGGUUCAAUUCGUCAUUUCGAUGCGUGAUUUGUGGUCUCGAGUGGGUCCGUGUUAUGAUAUGGGACUUGUUGGUAUAUUCGGACAGGACCCCGAGAGGCUCGGGAGAGUUUCAGUCAUGGUUCAGAUUAAUUUGGAAAAUUUAGUUAAGGCUUGUUUGUGCUGGUUCUGGUGUUUCCGCAUCUGCGGAAGAAUGAACGCAGAUAUGGACAAUUGGACGCAAAAUCGGAGACUGUGCUAGGGGCAGGAGUCUGCAAAUGAGUUUUCUUCGUAUCUGCGAAGGCGCAAAUGCGACGCAUAAGGGCGCAGAAGCGAGAGGCAGUGCAUGUGCGUGAAGUUUGUUCGCACCUGCGUUUGUGCAGAAGCGAAGAUUUUCCGCAGGUGCGAUGGGCUGGCUGGCAGUGCUUUUCUGCAAGAGCGAGAUUAUGGUCGUCGCGCGAGUCCGCCGAAGCGGAACUUUGUUCGCAAAAGCAAAAAAUGCUGGGCAGAUGCUUUAAAUCGAGGUUUUGCUUAUUUUAUUCAUAUUUGGAGCUAUAGACCUCAGACUGAGACGAGUUUUGACUCGAUUUUCACCAUAUUGAUUGGGGUUAGUGUUCUCUAUUCAUUUUUAUUAUAUUUCACGAAUCUAUCUUUGUUUUCGGCAUUUGAUUGAGGAUUUCAAGAGAGAAAAUUGGGGGGGGGGAGGUUGUCUAAAAUUUCAUAAAGUGAAUUUUCGGGUUUUGAGCAUCGAUUCAGAGUCGGAUUUGGGUAAAACUAGUAUGGUUGGACUCCUAAUUGAAUGGGUUGUAAGAUUUUAAGAGUUUCAUCGAGUUUCGAGGCGCGAGCCCGGGUUUGACUUUUUGGUUGACUUUGGGAUUUUGAUUAAAGAUUCAACCUUUAUCAUUUGGAAUUAUUUCCUUAGGCAGUAUUUGAUGUAUUGGAGUUUUUUUUGGCUAAUUUUGAGUCGUUUGGAGGUCGGUACAUGGGGGAUAGCAUUUUUGGAGCGUCGUUUGGCUUGCUCGGUGUUGGAUUUGGCUUGUUUGACGUAAGUAACACUUCUAAACUUAGUGCUAAGGGUAUGAAAUCCCGAAUUUCAUGUUAUGUGAUUGAUGUUGAGGUGACAUGCAUACUAGGUGUCGGGCGUGUGGGCGUGCACCGUAGAAAUUGUGAUUUAGUCAAUUCCAUGGAACUGUAUAGCUAUCUUAUCUGAAGAUUUUUACUGUACUCCAUGUGUUAGAGCACUUGAGCUGUAAUUUAUGCUAGAAAUUAUGUUUAGGCUAUAUGCUAGUACUAUUGGGACCCACAGUGGUCGUUCUUUGUUGUUGAAAUAUUUGCGUAAUUGCAGUUAUGUACUUAGUCGCAUUCAUCAUUACAUAUAAUAUCUCAGUCUCUAUUAUCGUAUAUUGUCACAUCUCGUGUCAUUGAUUUGGGCUGCUUAGCAUGAGUGUUGUGAUUCCGAGAGAAUGGAGACACUAAUGACUAUGUGAGGUCGAGGGCCUGUUGUGAGUGAUAUUUAUGGGAUCGGGUUGUACGGCGUAGCAGGCUUUAUUGAUUCAUUCCAGGAUUUGGCUUAUUAUAGCGCUUGGGUUGGAUCUGCCCCUACGGAGUCUGCACACCCACAAUGAGCGCAAUUGCUAUUGAUUUUUGGGCUAGAUCUACCCUGGAUUUGUUUACAUGUGGGUUGGAUCUGCCCUGUACAAUACUUAGUGAUUGAGCGUGAGUAUUAUUUAUGUUUGGGCUGGAUCUGCCCUGCAUAGUACUGAGUGACUGAGUAUGCUGAGUAUUGAGCUUGAUGAGUGAGAAUACGAGACAGUGAUAUCGAGUACUCUGAGAGUGUGAGCACAUGAUUUCAUCACUGAGAUGCAUUGCAUUUGACAUGCGUACUUGAGAUACAAGCAUAGAGAUUCAUUUCCUCAUGCUACCCCGAUUUGGUGACAUUCAUGAUUUUACUUGCAUAUCGACAUGUAGGUAUAGAGAUAUACUUUUCUCAUGCUAUCUGAAAAUAAAAUAUCUUAAUUACUAUUGAAAGAUUUUUGGAAACAAUCACAGUUUUCAGACUUACUCAUAUCUUUGGUGAUUUGGUAAAAAGAAUUGAGUUUUACUGACAUUUUGGAAAACAUGCCUAUCUUCAUGUAACUGUGAACGAGUUGAGAAUCAUACCUCUGAGUUAUUUUUCUUGCACCAUUUUUAUUAUGUUGUUAUGAACUGUUGCUGGUUAUUGGAGUUGAACUCUGACCCGUGUCCCAACUCGUCACUACUUUCAACCUAAGAUUAGGUUUGUUACAUAUUGAGUACACAUGGUCGGUUGUAUUCAUACUACACUUCUGCACCUUGCGUGCAGAUGUUGGAUGGUGAUGUUGGAGUGUAUGGCGGGAGAUGGAUUUGAAGAUGUACAUACGUUCCAGUUAUGGCUAUUACUUGUCCUAGGUAGCAUUAGAUUCAUAUUCUGUUCAUUUACAUUUCAAACAGAUGUUAUAAUUAUUUCAAUUCAGUUUUGUGAAAAUCUAAAUCUUAGAAGCUCAUGAUUUGUUCUACCUGUCCUUAGGAAAUUCUUUGUAUAAAAAGCUAUCUUUUCUUCUCUUAAUAAAUCUCAUUAAACUAGUUAGUUUUUAAUUGGCUUACCUAGCGGGUUAGGUUAGGUGCCAUCAUGACUAGUUGGAUUCUGGGUCGUGACAAGUUGUUAUCAGAGCUUUAGGUUCAUAGGUUCUACGAGUUAUUANNNNNNNNNNNNNNNNNNNNNNNNNAUCUUUCUUUCCUUAUCGUGCAGCAUUGAUUCAGCUUGAAGCGUAACUCUUUGAAUUCCUUCCAUGCACUCGUAUGCACAUGUGAGCGCUCGGUAUCAGUUGCGCAUCGACGGCUGGUGAUUCCAUGGAUGAGGUGCGAGAUAUGAUUUCUAUGUGCUGAUGAUGGGCCAGUCUGGAGGACUUGAGGCCGAGUUUUGACUGUAGCUUGAGCACGAGGAUUUCGGUUAUCUGAGCACAUGCUUUUAGACUUAUAGGUCUGGUUACGUCCCUAUGAGUUGAAUUCGUGUCUCGAUGAGUGGAUGGAUGGCUAUAUGAUGAGUAUGAUGACAACAGAAUGUGUUCAUGUGGUUUGAAUGUGACAUGAAGAGUUUUCUUGAGAUGUGAAAAGGACUAUUGGGUGCUUGAUUUCUGUCUUGAUGUGAUGUAUAGUCUCGAGUUAUGAGAGUGUUGAAAAGUUUUUCAUGUUGUUUAAUUGUGGAACAAAGUAGAUUUUCAUGUCUUGUUGAUGAGUUCAGACUCGAGAAAAUUAAGUGAUUCCGUAGUAAUUGUGGCUAUGAAAGGGUAUAAAGGGAUGUCAGUUUGAGGCUAAGUACAUGCGAGGUAAUCUUCGGAUGUGUGAUACUUAUGAUGUUGUGUGGAGACUUUCUUUUCUACCAAUGGGUUAUAAUUGUGCGAUUUGAGUUUGGAUUGGUUGUAAUAGUUGACCUGACCGUUAUGAGGAUGAAUGCGAGAUUCGCAGAUGAUUUGAGGUAUUAGAUGGUUUGUGUUACAUGGGUUUAUGAAGGAUUUAGUUGAAUCUCACUGCGGUAGUAUGGCAGUAAUGCGGUAUGGUUAUUGUAAGUUACCAGAUGUUUGAUUCCAUGGAUUUGAGCCAAGUGGGGGAGUCUGCUAUCGACGAGUUGAUUGCACGGUUAUGUGUAGUAUCGGUUUUGAUUUGAGGUAUACUUGUGAAUCAGUUAUGACUUACAGAGGUUGAGAUCGAGGAUGACUCGAGUAAGGGAAUUUCUGCAUACGGGUUAUAUUACACUUUAUGGGUAUAUGGAAAUCAUGGAAUGAGUUGAGUUGUUAUUUGUGAUGGAAGUAGUGCGCAAGGUGUAGGAAUUUGCUCAGUUACGUUAAGGCAGGGUUACUUCUUUGGGGUGUUGUGCUAAUUGAGCAUAGGUCGUCCGGCCCGUUUGGGCGAUGCAAUUGAGAUUUGAGCAGAGUGGAUGACUCUCGAGAAGGUUCUAAUGUAUUCAAGAUUAUAUGCGGCAAUUGAGAAUUUUCCAGAUUUGUAUAUGGUUAAGAUCUGAGAUUCAUAUUGGAUGGUGUCGAGACUCGUAGUAUUUCUAUAUCAUUAUAGAUUCUAUAUUUCAGUAUCCGGAAGGUGAGGGAAAUGGCUUUAGAUUCAUAUAAGGUCUCUUCAGAGUCAGUGUCUCGGUCGUGGUACUUUUGGGAUGCUUAAGAGGGAAUACGGCUUAUGGGCCUUAGGGAGAUGUGGUUUUUUUGCUAAGAUCUCUUAUGGUGAACUUUGGGGUAAGGAUCGUGGUGUUCUCGCAAGGAGAAGUAUCAACUUGAGGGUAAUUUGGAAGGAACUUGGAUAAAUGGAACAGCUUAGUAGUAGGUUAUAUCAACACGGCAAUGGAUAUGAUUGGUCCUUUAGGUACUUAUGAUGUGGUGAGUUCCAACAGGUGUUUUGUGUCAAUACCCUUGGGCUUGGCAACCUGCGUGGCUUGGUUGAGUUAGAGAAAUUCAGUUCCCGUGGCUUUAUUAUGUGCAAAUGGAUUUCAAAGUGUUCUCGAUGGUUUCUACCACGGUUUGAGAUAGAUAUAUCCUACCGACGCGAUGAGCAUGCUGCGUAUUGUGAUUUUCUACUAGAUGGGAUCAUAUGAAAAAUUCCUGGCUAAUUGAGUAUGUAGUUUGGACUCAGAGUGUUAAUAAGGUUCUCGUGUCUUCGUAUAAUGGCCUAAUAGAGGCGGCGCGUCGUGUGAGAUUGACAUUUGCAUGUGUAAGGUCACAGAUUCAGUUUUAAAGGGAAGGCCACGAAUUCUUAGACAACAUAGACAGUUUUAGAUGACUAGAUGAAUGCUAUUACUAAUUGGUAUUACCUGAGUAGAGUGUAUAUUCAGAAGGCGCAGUGUGUUUUGACUUGCGGAUGCUUCAUGGUAUUGUAAUACUCGCCUAGUUGAUCAGCUGAUGAUAUUCAGAUUUUGCUAUGUGGCACGUAAGAAUUAUAGAAGUAUUCCUUUCUGGAUGAUCAUGUAUGAGAGAUGUGUUAAACAUUCGGGCAGUGGAGCUGGGAUCAAAUAUAGUGACUCGUGUGUUCUAUGGAUUUGGAGACUGGGAGUUCUCAGAGGCACACUGUUUAGUGGUUGUUGACUAUGAAUAUGUGGCCAAAGCUAGCAAGAUGAUGGUAUGCGUUAUGGUUAGGUCAUUGUGGACGUUUGGAGGGUUUUGCAUCUAUUUGUUGAUGACCAGAGUUGAUUUGGGGUCCAUUGGUAGGCCCAAUGAGGAUGUGUAUUCUAUACUAGGCCGGAUUAGUUGACUCUGUACUGCUAUAGUUGAGGGAUAUUCCAUUUGGUUAGAAUUGAUCUCAUUCGUAUCUGGUAUGAUCUAUGUGUUACUCUUCUAUUCUACGAGGGGUUGUAAUUUGUUGGCUAUAUGAGCACACGGUGUGGUUGUUUUUGGGCUUUAUUGCGAACUUUAUGUGAUUUGGUGAUUGGGGUGUGGAAUGGUUGAUUGCGCCUUGGUUAUGGUCCUUUCGGGUUUUUGGUAUUGUAUUAUUUGCUUCUCUGUGGUUAUGGUGAUGCACCUUGUGUACUUGAAAUUGUGUGUGGUUGUGGAUUUGGAGCAUUGUGGUUUGAGGUAUUUCAUAUGGACCGAUGUUUUGAUGGGGUCACGUAUUGCAGCGAAGUUAUGUCUUGGUUAUACCAUGUAUGAUAGGCUCAUAGCAUUGCGUUUGUGGUGGUACUUGUUGAACCUGCAGGACGGUUCUCUCGUUUGAGUCAUUUUCCUUAUUUGAGUACAUUUGAAUGGUUGCUUAUUGGUGCACAGAUUGCACGGUUGUGACUUUAGCUUGUAUUGGUAUGGCAUGUCAAUGGAAUAGUUGUUCUUGAUGAGGUAAGGUCAUUGGACCUAGAAUGGAUACUAUCGGAUUUGAUUGCGGUAUGUUUGGAAGAAUAAUAUCGGAAGUCAGCUCAGAACUUUCUUUGGUUCCUGUCAGACGAGAGAGAGCUCCAUGGCUUGUUGAUCUGAUGAGUGGUUAUAAGUUUCUGCGUGUUCAUUUCAUCAUCUGCAGUGUACGAAGGUUUUUGAAUGAGGUUUUGUUUGAUAUGAGGUUUAUUACCAGUACCACAUUUAUUUUUAAGAAACUGCGGUGAUUAGAAAUUAUUGCUAUGAGUAUUUGAGUUAUGUGGUAUAUAAUGUGAUUGUGUCCUGGGUUAUGGUUAUGACUCGACCUAGUUUGUUCAGACUUAUACAGUGUAUAGAUGCAAGAUUUGGGCCUUAUAGGAAAUUUCGGAUGUUGGAAAAAUUGUAUUCUAAGGUUUAUGGGCUAAGAUUGAAUUAAGAUUCUUCAAUUAUGAUAUGUCGGCAGGGUUAUAUUGAUUAUUGUGAUGUGGGAUCACCCCCGGGUAUGUGCCUUGUAAGAUUACACGGCGAUUUGAUGGCUUUGGAACGACGCUUGACACAUUCGAGGAUGAACGUAUGUUUAAGUAGGGGAGAAUGCAACGACCUGACCAGUCAUUUUGAGCAUUUGCACUUCGCUCGGUGGUUGGAGGGCAUGAGUAUCUCUGUAUGAUGUAUUAUGACUUGUGUGAAUCAUCGGUUUGGUUUUCAGGUUAUUCAGGAUUGAUUUGGAAGAAUAAAUUUCAUGAUUGAAGCUUUAAAGUUGGAAGAGUUGACCAAGUUUGACUUUUGUGAAUUUGACCUCAGAUUGGAGUUUUGAUGUUUUGUUAGGUCUGGAUGGUGAUUUUGGACUAGGGCGUAUGCUCGGAUUUGCAUUUGGAUAUUUCUAGAAGGUUUCAACGCGAAUUGGCGAAUGUUGGAAACUUGAAAGUUUAGAAAGCUUAUAAGUUUGACCGGGAGUUGACUUUGAGGAUAUCAUAUUCGGAUUGUCGUUCCGGAAAUUAGAAUAGUUUUUUUAUGUCAUUUGGGACUUGUGUGCAAAAUUUGAGUUCAUUCCGAGUUGAUUUGAUAUGGUUCAACAUGAGUUUUGGAAGUUGAAAGUUCAUUAAGUUUGAUUUGAGGUGCAAUUCGUCAUUUUGAUGCAUGAUUUGUGGUCUUGAGUGGGUCCGUGUUAUGAUAUGGGACUUGUUGGUAUAUUCGGACGGGGCCCCGAGAGGCUCGGGAGAGUUUCAGUCAUGGUUCGGAUCAUUUUGGAAAUUUUGGUUAUGGCUUGUUUGUGCGGGUUCUGGUGUUUCUGCAUAUGCGGAAGAAUGGACGCAGAUGCGAGUCCGUCGAUGUAGACAAUUGGUCGCAGAAGCAGAGACUGGUCUGAGGGCAGGAGUCCGCAAAUGCAUAGUUUUCUUCUCAUCUCCGAUGGCACAGGCGCAUGAGGGCACAGAAGCGAUAGGCAGUGCAGGUGCGUGAAUUUGUCCACACAUGCGUUUGCGCAGAAGCGGAGAUUUUUCGCAGGUGCGAUGGGCUUGUUGGCAGUUCUCUUCCGCAAGAGCGAGAUUAUGGUCGCAGACGCGAGUCCGCAAAAGCGGAAAUUUGUUAGCAAAAGGGAAAAUGGCUGGGCAGAAGCUUUAAAAUCGAGGGUUUCGUCAUCUUAUUCAUAUUUGGAGCUAUAGACCUCGGAUUAAGAUGAUUGUUUAAGCAAUAUUCACCAUAUGAAUUGGGGUAAGUGUUUAUCUACUCAUUUUUUAUUAUAUUUCAUGAAUAUAUCUUUGUUUUCGGCAUUUGAUUGAGGAUUUCAAGAGAGAAAAUCGAAGGUUUUUGUCUAAAAUUUCAUAAAGUGCAUUUUCGGGUUUUGAGCACCGAUUCGGAGUCGGAUUUGAGUAAAACUAGUAUGGUCGGACUUGUUAUUGAAUGGGUUGUCAAAUUUUGUGAGUUUCAUCGGGUUCCAAGGUGCAAGUCCGGGUUUGACGUUUUGGUUGAUUUUGGACUUUUGAUUAAAGAUUCGACCUUUAUCAUUUGGAAUUGUUUCCUUCGGCAUUAUUUGAUGUAGUCGAGUUGUUUUGGCUAGUUUUGAGCCGUUCAGAGGUUAGUACGCGCGCGGAUGGCAUUUUUGGAGCAUCGUUUGGCUUGUUUGGUGUUGGAUUUGGCUUGUUCGAGAUAAGUAACACUUCUAAACUUGGUGUUUAGGGUAUGAAAUCCAGAAUUUCAUGUUAUGUGAUUGAUGUUUAGGUGACGCGCAUGUUAGAUGACAAGCGUGUGGGCGCGCACCAUAGAAAUUAUGAUUUAGUCGAUUCCAUGGAACUGUAUAGCUAUCUUAGCUGAAGAUUUUUACUGUACUCUAUGUGUUAGAGCACUUGAGAUGUGAUAUAUGCUAGAAAUCAUGUUUAGGCUAUAUGCUAGUACUAUUGGGACCCACAGUGGUCGUUCUUUAUUCUUGAAAUAUUUGCGUAAUUGUAGUUAUGUACUUAGUCGUAUUCAUCAUUACAUAUCAUAUCUCAGUCUCUAUUAUCGUAUAUUGUCACAUCUCGUGUCAUUGAUUUGGGCUGCUUAGCAUGAGUGUUGUGAGUCCGAGAGAAUGGAGACACUAAUGACUAAGUGAGGUCGAGGGCCUGUUGUGAGUGAUAUUUAUGGGAUCGGGUUGUACGGCGCAACAGGCUUUAUUGAUUCAUUCCAGAAUUUGGCUUAUUAUAUUGCUUGGGUUGGAUCUGCCCCUACGGAGUCUGCACACCCACAGUGAGCGCAAUUGCUAUUGAUUUUUGGGCUAGAUCUACCCUUUAUUUGUUUACAUGUGGGCUGGAUCUGCCCUGUACAAUACCGAGUGACUGAGCGUGAGUAUUAUUUAUGUUUGGGCUGGAUCUGCCCUGUACAGUACUGAGUGGCUGAGCGUGCUGAGUAUUGAGCUUGAUGAGUGAUAAUACGAGACAACGAGAUUGAGUACUCUGAGAGUGUGAGCACAUGAGUUCAUUACUGAGAUGCAUUGCAUUUGACAUGCGUACUUGAGAUGCAGGCAUAAAGAUGCAUUUCCUCAUGCUACCCCGUUUUGGUGACAUUCAUGAUUUCACUUGAAUAUCGACAUGUAGGUGUAGAGAUAUACUUUUCUCAUGCUAUCUGAAAAUAAAACAUCUUAAUUAUUAUUGAAAGAUUUUUGGAAAAAAUCACAGUUUUCAGACUUACUCACAUUUUUGAUGAUUUGGUUAAAAGAAUUGAGUUUUACUCACAUCUUUGAAAAGCAUGCCUAUUUUCCCGUAACUGCGAACGAGUUGGGCAUCAUACCCCUGAGUUAUUUUUCUUGCACCUUUUUUAUUAUGUUGUUAUGAAUUCUUGCUGGUUAUUGGAGCUGGACUCUAACCCUUGUCCCAGCUCGUCACUACUUUCAAUCUAAGAUUAGGUUUGUUAAUUAUUGAGUACAUAGGGUCGGUUGUAUUCAUACUACACUUCUGCACCUUGCGUGCAAAUGUUGGAUGUUGAUGUUGUUGUGUACGGUUGGAGCUGGAUUUGAAGUUGUACCUGUAUUCCAGUUAUGACUAUCACUUGUCCUUGGUAGUAUUAGAUUCGAAUUCUGUUCAUUUACAUUUCAAACAUAUGUUGUAAUUAUAUCAAUUGCAAAAAUCUAAAUCUUAGAAGCUCGUGAUUUGUGCUACCAUUCUUUGGGAAAUUCUUUGUAUAAAAGUAGUUGUAUUAUCAUUUCUUCUCUUAAUAAAUCUCAUUAAACUGGAUAGUUGUUAAUUGGCUUACCUAGGGGGUUGGGUUAGGUGCCAUCACGACUAGUUGGAUUUUGGGUCGUGACAGUUAAUAACAACCGAUUGCGCAUAAUCUAAGAUUAUGUUGAUUUCUUUCCAUAUUCGCGGCUAUUAAUGAACCUUCCUCCUUCGUGAUUUUUAAUUAUCCAUCUCGCACUUAUUUCCUCUUUUCCAGCUAUUAGGUAUGGUAUCUUUGUGAACCAUCCCAUGGGUGUUUUGUCCAUGCCUUCUCUAAUCUUCACUUUUUUUUAUCGUUUUUACUCCUACUCCACCUGUCAGCAUAUUAUUAGUCCACGUUACGAGUUUAUUUUUCUACCAAUACAGAUAGUCCCCCCACUUUCUGCAUAUUCUCAACUGAAUAUUUGGGAAGUGAAGAUUUUAUUUAUGGCGGGAAUAUCUUAUCGCUUCUUUCCGAUAUCAUUAUGAUUUGCUUCAGAAGCAAAGAGAUAUAUGUCUCUUCCUUUUAAUUCUCUAGACACGUGUCUUAUCUUGAUUGGCUCUACAGUUUGCAGCAACUUUUUAGGGUUUUUGCGGUUGUGUCAGUUCGAUGUGAAACUUCCAUGAUGACAGUCCAUGAUGACAUUUUUCUCUUAAAAAUACCGUAUCAUACAUCUUCCAAAACUUCUUUUACUCUCUUUCAUUUUCACUAAAUUGUUUUUGCAACUCUCUCUUGCUCUUCGUGCUUUUGUUUUAUUCAACAACGGCUUCCCAAUUCAAACCCUUCUUCAUCCUCUGAUCCUCGUUGUGCUAUUAUAGUAGAUGAACUCCCUUCUACUAUGGCUUCAGUUAGAAGUAGGAACAGAGGUGGUAGGCUUCGUAGCCUAGGUUCCAUAUCAAGUCGAAGCACUACUUCUUCUAAGAAGCUUCUUCGAAACCUUCUUCUUCCUCCAAAUCUAAAUUCACAUUCACUCCUGGAUCUUCUUCUAAAGCUAGGGAUCAAAAUGAACCACUGCCUAAACCUUUAGUUUCAAAGAUUAUUCCUCAAGAAUUUUCUUUUAUCUCUAAUUAUGAGGCAUGGAGUAAAGAAUUUUCCUCCAUAGCAGCACUUAACCCUGUUGAUCACUAUCCUUCCCUGAUUAAAUCAGGUCUUCUUCCUCUCAUACAUAGAGAAUGUCAUUGGAAUCCUGAUUUCCAAAUCACAAUCCCUAGUAUUGAUGAUUAAAUAACCACCUACCGUGAAGGUUAUUCGUUCAUCUACACUUAUCAUUUUACCUUAGGAUUUAAGCCUCCAAUUAACCCAGUGAUUCUCGAGUUUUGCCACUAUUUCAAUGUUUGUCUCGGGCAAAUAGGCUCGAUAAUAUGGUGGCCAGUAGCUUGCCUUCGCUACUUGUCAGUCUUAGUUUCCGCCCCUUUCGUGUUUUGAAAUCUCCCCCAUCUGUAUUCCCCAAAAACUUUUUGUGCGGGUGCUUUCACACUCGCAACAAGAAGUAAAUACAUCUUGGUUAGUUGUAACACCUCGGAAAAUUUCGAAGUACUUAAGUGUAAAGUCCGGUAGAAUUUGCAAAGAAAAUAAUAUUUCAUGGUGCCGGAAAGUAAAGGAAAAGUUUUGGCGAAAAAGUGCAUUUCUGCGUCCAUUAUGCGACCGCAGAACCACUCUGCAGACCGCAUAAUGGCCGCAGAGUGAGGCAGUUAAUUGGGUCAGUUGGAAGCAACUAUGCAGUCGACUAUGCGACCGCAUAGUGACCGCAUACACAGACAGUUCUUUUGGCUAUUUUGUAACCAAUUAUGCGGCCGUUAUGUGAUCCGCAUAUCGAUUAUGCGAUCGCAUACCUUGUUCCGGAGCUCCAUUUUGGGUUUUUAAAACCCGACCCUAUUUCGUUAAAUACACUCUUUGGGCCAUUUUUGAGACAUAAUAUGAUAUUUUAGAGUGAGAGAGAGUGCCCUAGAGUGAGAAGGUAUUCUUCAAUAAUUGUUCUUCAAUUCUUGCUCAAAUUUUGGAAGAUUAAGUAGGGAAACUCACUAGGUCUUCAUCCUAGAGGUAAAAUUCUACACCCUAACCCUCAAUUUCGAAUUUUGUCUAGAAAUGGGUAAUAAGCAAGAUAAUUUCUGGGCAAGAGGGUUGUUUAUUUUACAUGCAUGUGUUAUCAAAGGGUGUAGAAAGAUUGUUGAGCUAAAAAUGAUAAAGAUUGGAUUGUGGGAUGAUGGAAUCCUCCAUAAAAGGACCUUGAACCUUAAUCCACACUUAGUGUUUGAUAAAAUGCUCAAAUGAGCUGAGACCAUGAAUAUCUUCCUAAUUAUGGUUCAAUUUUGUUAUGUCUCAAAUAGAUUGGGAUUGCUAGAAUUUCCGGAACGUUGUAGUAAUUUAAGGAAAGCUCAAUUGAGGUAUGUUGGCUAAACUUUCUCUCUUGGAAUUGAAUUCCAUACUGUUUUCGUGAGUUUCAAAGUAUGGGUUGCGUAUUAAAAUGUUGUGGCUUGAAUCGUAUUUCAAAUGAAAGCUAGUAUGCCAAAUUGUGUGAGAAAAUCUCAAUAUUCUGAAGACUCUUAAUUGCUCAUACGUGUACCUAAAGUCUUGAUUGGGAAUGUCUUAUUGUUGAUAACCUAAAUAGAUGAUUGGAAGUGAAAUCAGUAAAUUGGGAAUAUAAAGUGUGGCCAACGUGCCAAUAGUGAAAGUUAUACUUGUGACCAAUGGUGCCAAUGAAAUGAAAUAAUGUGAUAAAGAUUAUGAAAUGAGCUUUGACUCAACUAUUCCAAAAUUGACUUCGACAAUAUAAUCGGCUAAAAGUUUAUGAACUCAAGUGAUGCUCAUAUGUGGCUGUUUUAGCUAAUGAUAUGCUUUGUAAGUAANNNNNNNNNNNNNNNNNNNNNNNNNNNNNNNNNNNNNNNNNNNNNNNNNNNNNNNNNNNNNNNNNNNNNNNNNNNNNNNNNNNNNNNNNNNNNNNNNNNNNNNNNNNNNNNNNNNNNNNNNNNNNNNNNNNNNNNNNNNNNNNNNNNNNNNNNNNNNNNNNNNNNNNNNNNNNNNNNNNNNNNNNNNNNNNNNNNNNNNNNNNNNNNNNNACGGUAUGAAUAAACACUAUGGACGGUCUAUGAAACGCAUAAGUGUAUAAUAUGAUAUGUGAACACUAAGGACGGUCUAAUGAGACACAUUAUUAAUGUAGACAAUAAGUGCCCCUUUUGUUGUCCUUGUUUGUACGGGUCGUUUCAAUUACAUUAUAUUAUGUGUCCCACGUAUAGAUCAUAUGGGCAUUCUAUUUUGAAAGAGGAUUUCUAGAUAUACAUACUAGUGCUAUUCGACAGUACUAACAUCCCUUUUGCCGGGGGUGCUGCAUUUUUAAUGGAUGCAGGUGGUUCUACAACAGGUGGCAUUGAUCAGUGAUAGCAGUACACUCCUUUCAGCUGAUUUAGUGAGCCCCACUUUAUUUCGGGGUCAUGUGUCUUUUGUUUCUCAUGUACUUUGUGAUUGAGGUAUAGCCGGGGCCUUGUUGUCGGCAUUUCCAUAUUACUCUUCAGUUGUACUUAGAGGCUCCGUAGACAGGUUAUGGGUGGUAUUUGAUAUUGGGAAUUGGAUUAGAACUGUUGGUAUUUGGCAACAUAUUUUUUAUUAAAUCUAUAAACUCGUACUAUUUUGGAAAUAUUGAAUGAUAUUGUUAAUGGGAAUGAAAUGGGAGCGGUUAAUAAAAUCUCUUCAGUAUUUGAUUAACGGAGUACAUCUCCUCUUUAUUCACGAAUGAAUUUGGGUAGAAGGAAUCUAACAGGCUUACUCGGUCGGGUUCACUCGGUUGAGCGCCGAUCUCACUCCUCGGUUUUGGGGCGUGACAUUAGUCCUAAAGAUGAUCAUGACUGAGGCUGAUAUGCUCGGUUAGUGGAUGUCCCAACACAUGCGUUAGUGGGAGAAAUGAAUAUGAUUUUUCCCGAAAAGUAAAAUUUUGCACGUAAGUGUUUUCCUUUAUUUUUACAUUCUGCCAUUUUUCCUCUCUUAGAAUACUAACCUUAUCGCUCAUGUUUUCUUCUUUUCCAACAAUAAUAAAAGUCUUUGGUAAGCUUCUUGACUUCCAUAAUUGGGUAGAAAAGAUGUUAUCCGUUGAUCCUAUGGAGCAAAGAUCAUGGAAUUUUCUAUCCCUAAAAUUUGAGUGGAAAGUCAAAACUCACGGUAUGUUACUUUAGUUUGCCGUGAAUUUUUUUAUGCUUAUUUCGAAAUCCUUUUUGAUUUUCAGGAUUUGCAAUCUGUGGAGUACGUUUCGCUCCUUCUCCUGCAGCUAGACUUGAUGUCAACACUGCUUAGGAGUAGAUUUUGAAUGUGUCCUCUUCGAAGAGGAAGAAUAAAGUAUCCCUCGCCUCUGAUGAAGAGGAAAAAGAUGAAGGUUCCUUGAAGAGGCCUCGGGUUAGGAGGUGAGUCAUUUUAUAUGAUAAAUCCAAUGUCCCUCGAAACCAGCCUUCAAACUCUGUGCCUUUUCACUUGGUUGAUGAGCCUGAAGAUAUCCCUGUGGAGAUUUCAGAGGAAGAAGAUGUUGAACCUGCCUUAAACAAUCCUUCAAAUCCUGUUGAAAGAUAUUUUGCUCAAGGAUUCGAGGGUGAAAGGAAUAAUUUGGCUUCGUUUCUGAAGAACAACCUCUUGCUACUCUUCCUAUGAGUCUCAUUGCUCCCGCUGCUGUCCCUCAAGAUGAAUCUGGUCCUUCUACUGGGAGCGGUAUGAAACAAGUUAUGAUCGAAGUCCCCAAGGGUAUGAACUUGCUGAAGAAAUCUCACUAAGCUGCGAUUUGGUUGAAGCCUUUGAUCAGUCCCCUCUAGAGGAAAAUAAUUCAUUCUACCAUCAAGGUAUGUCUUUCCUCUUUUACUUCUUUCAUUUCUUCCUUCCUUAGGUUUAUAACAUCUUUCCCCUCGUCUUUUUGCAUAUCAACUUAACAGGUACGAUGCUAAUAAGGAGAUUGGCUUGGCAACAAAUUGCAGAGUUAAGCACGGAAGCUGACAACUGGAAAGAGAAAUAUGAGAGCCUUAAACUGGAGAAGGAUGUCUUGGCCGGCGACAAAGAUACUCUAGAGCAAUAGCUUAGGAUCAUUAUUGCUAAGUUAGCAAUAAUGAAGGCUUCUGUAAAUGAGGCAGAGAAGGAAAAAGCAAGGAUGGAGGGCACUUUGCUGAGCAGCAUUCAAGGGUCACUGAGGAGAUUUGAAGUUUGAAAGAACUUCUGAAUCAAAAAGAAGUGUACGCAGGUGAUCUGUUCCAAGCAUUGACUCAAGCUCAAGAAGAUCUUCACACCUCCUCCAACAGAGUUAAGUUCCUUGAAACUACAUAAAACCUUUGAAGGUUUCAUAUGAGGCUGCCGAAGCUGAAAAAGAAGAAUUGAAGGCUGAAAUUGAACAGUCGGAGAAAGACUACGAGACUCUUGAGGACAAACUAACUUUGGACGUGAGUUGGGCCUUCCUGAACACUCGUCUUGAGACUUUGACUGAGUCUAGCCAAGAUGUAUCACCCCAGAAAAUUUUAAAGUAUUUUAAGGCCAUUAAGAAGAUUGACAUGUGCUAAUUAUAUUAAUUCGGGUAUGAACAAGGACUAAUGAUAUGGAUAAUACCAAUUAAUCAUGAUAAUAUGUUUACAAUGUAUAUUAAUAAUGGUUUAUGGUCUAAGAAGUACCAUAAGGCUAAGUUAAGUUGGAAACUAUAUGAUGGGCUAAAGUUUCAAAUGACUUUACACAAGACCUAAAUUUAAACAAGAACAACUCCCAAUAUAUGAAGUUAUGUGGUUUAAUACCUAUAAAAUUAAAGAUCUAUGUGUCUAGUUUUUAAUGCUUCAAACUGUUCGUCAUUUGGAUAUUUCUACAAGAUGUUAUAAUCUUUUUACUGAAGGGUAGCACUGUAGCCAUGCAGCUACGCGAGCUGUGCGUAGCUACACUGCCUUGUGCGUAGCUGAUUCUAUCAACUAGUGAAAUGAAGAGGAAGGGAGCGUAAUCAAAAUUAUAAAAGUGGCUAUUUCGAGGAGAGAGAAAGUGAUGGAAUUUUGGACAAGGGUUUGGGUUCUAGAGAGAAAGAGGAAGUCUCCCAUCAUGAAUACACUUCAAGGUAUGUUUAUUUGGUAUAAGAAUGAUUAUAUAACAUCAUUUGAUAUAACACUAACAUUAUUAUGGAUCAAAAUCCAUAGGAAAUGGGUUAAAUCUUCAUGAACACCAAAAGGAGAAAAGUGAGAUUUUUCCACCAAGAGAAAAUUUUUUACUUGAGCUUCACAUAUGAUGAUAUAUUGGAGUAUGAGUUGCAUGUUUAUGAAGUUUAUUUGAAGUUAUAAUGGAGUAUUAUACAAACCUAAGAGUGGGUCUUGAAAAUAAUAUUUUGAAUGAAGAAGAAGGUGAAUAGUUGUGAGUUGAUAUAUAUGAAAAGAUUUUGAGUUUUUUAAUGAUGUCAAUAGACUUGAUAACCUAAUUGAUGGGCGAAAUAAAGGGGGAAUCGCCAUUUGGCUAAGAAAUAAUACUAGUUCAAGAAUUGGAUGUUCGUGAGCAUAGAGUUUUAUUGGAGAAGAUAAUGCAUAGUGACUUGGUGAUGUAAAGUAAAGAAUAUAGUAUCAUUAAUGACUCUGAAUGAGUAUUUAAUGAUACGAAUCGAAUUGAAUAGGCUAAUUGGUGGACCUAUUAGAUAAUUUGGAAUGGUUGAAGGCUUGUUGCCAAAUUGUGAUGCCUAAAUAGAUAUUAAUUAAUAUUUUUUUAUUUGUUUUGAUGUAAAUAGGAUACCUAAUAGAUAUUGAAUUGUUGGCGAUAUUUGAGCAUUUUAAUCAGUGUAGCAUUAUUUGGAGCCUGAAGGUUGAGGUAAGUUGAUAAAGACUUAUGCUUCUUGAAGGAUUUUCUCUAAAAGCAUAUUUUGAGUUAAUAUGUGAUAUUAUUUAUAAAUGUGCAUCCAUACUUGUGGGGAGAAGCGGGAAGGAUGUCACCAUGUGUUUCUAAGUUUGUUGCUUAUGAAGUGUCAUGUGAUUUUAUAAAAUUCUUAGUUUCAAAACUUGUUCGCAAGAUGACACUUAAGGAAAACCUUAUAAGUAUUAUUAAAACUUAUAUGUGUAUAAGAGUAUAAAAUAUUUUAAUGUUAAAGAUACGUUUUCAUGAAAAAGUAUGCCUUUUGAAAUUUGACCAGUAGAGUGGCACUUAUUGUAUCUUUAAAAGAUUAAUGUUAAAUUGCUAAAGGCUUUAGCAUGGAAAAGUUAUUCUUUUGAUAUUGUUUAAAUGGUUUGGAUUGACUAUGAAAAUUAUGAUUUGAUAAAAAUAGAUCAUUUGAGGCUAUUAGACUAAGAAUCUAUUUUUGAAAUUUUAAUUUUUUGGAAGUUACUAGUAGAGACCACCGAGAUUCAUUCGAAUAUUAAGUUCUUUACCAUGGAACUACGUGUGUCGGUGUAGGGUCACAUUCCAAGGUUAAGUAGAAGUUUGUGGGAUGAAGUACCCAUUGAGAGGGCAAAUUACUAUUACUUAAAGUAAUAAGGUUAAGUCGACUCGUACGGGACUACAGAAAGCCGCCCAGACAAGUAGGGUCGAAUACUUUUUGCUAGGUUGAUCACCUAGUAGUUGUUAAUUAUGUCGGUGUCGCUAUCGUACUCCUGGUGAAAGAUAAUGAUUUACUUAAGUUUAGGCCUAAGGAGCCGAAACAGAUUUCAGUGACCAAAUGCAAUUGAAAUGGGUUUAUAUGACUUUUAUUAAAACCUUGAAUUGAUAUAAAUGUUCUGAAAACUUAUAUUAUGGUUCACAUUUCAAUUGUCUUUUCAUUUAAAAUGACAAAUAGCACGAUUUAUAUAACUAUUUAUCACUUUAUAUCAAAUAUUGGUUGCAUAGUUUUUGUAAAAUAUUUUCUCAGGAACUUGAGUUAGAGAUCGUCUAUGACGCUUAUUGAGUACCGUGGUGGUGUACUCAAUCCUCAGGGGCCCCUCUUCAACGUUCCGCGUACUUUACAUAUUGCUGAAUGAGGAGUAUGAUACGUGACAUGCAGACAUGGCUAGGGUGACUCUCUUCCCAAGGUAUACAGUGAGGCACCACUCCUAUUUUGUGGUAGCUAUCAUAUUGUCUUCUUAUUUUAUGUUAGUCGGGCAUUGGUCCAAAUAUUCAGUUAUAUUUCAUGCUAUAGAGGCUCCGUAGAUAGUUGUUAUGAGUUGUAGUAACGGGAUGGUACACGACAUAUAUGAAAAGAUAUUUGUUGUAUUUGAUCUCAUUACUAUUAUGAAAGGGUUCAUGGGUAAAUUUGAAUUGGAAUAAUAUUUCAUCAUUUAACUUGAAAAUAUAUAUGAUUUUCAAAGAGCUUCCAUAGUUAAAUUGGUUUUCAUACAUAUGGUUUGGGUACAUCAUAUAGUUUGGUUCGCUCGGAUCGGGUAGUGUGCCGGGUGUCGAUCAUGUGGUUUUGGGUCGUGACACUAGAAGGCUUUGAUCUCGAAAGAUUGCCAGGGGAAAGGAAGAAAUCGAUUCUACUCAGCAAUAUCAAAGUUUCUCUACACCCGAGGAUGAAAACUCUAAUGGUGAUUUAAGCAAAGACGGUUCGGAGGCUAAUCAUGUUGAUCCCCAGCCUUCAUCUUCUAGUCCCCAAGUUUAUCCUUCCGCUCCUUCCCACGAUUCUCCUUACUUUUAAAACAAUUAUUUUUAUAUUUUCUGGAUACUUUUGGACGUUUUGAUUUAUUUUGUGGAAACGUUUAUCAACAUCAAUGUUAACUUUCAACAUGUUUUAUGUGUGCAAUUGGUCUUUAACUUUUGAGCCUUUUUUUGCUUUAUAUAAGUAGAAUGAAUACUUUAAUAUAUCGUGACUUAAUACACACAGUCUUACUUAUAAAAGAGGGCCCCUUUAUGCAAUCGACACUAAUGAAAAUGACGUCUCAUCUUCAUGUUGGUGUAAGAAUAUUAAUAUGAAGUAAUUUAAAGAAGUUUUAUUUGAACUUCCGAAGCAAAUAUUCAUAUACAAUAUUUUCAUAAUUGCUUUCUUGUAGCAGGUUUAUAAGUAUGGGUAUAUUUAUCCCGUGACUAUUUUUAUAGCCUUAACCUAAUGGCUCUUUGGAGCUUUCUAUUGAAUCAUUAAUUCUUCACUUUCCAUUCAAUCUUUGAGCUUGAAAAAUUAAAAUUUUCUUCAAAGUUUUGUUUGAAAACAAUCUUGAGAUAUGCUUCUCCCACAUGUAUAGUCCCCCUAGUGUUUGAGCUUUGAUGUAUGAAAACUUGAACACUGGAUCAACUUUCCUCCACUGUCCUUUUCCUAAAAAGGAGAAACACACGAGACUUGGGGGUAAUGUUUUAGAUGAUGACUGCGGAAUGCUUCCCAUCAGAAUUGUUAUAACCUUGACUGAGAAUAAUUAAAUAUUCCGCUUAACUUUUGGGUCUAAUGUCAUCAUCUGGUAUGGGUUAGCUUUUUGCCUAUCAUCUAAAAAGGUUAGUAAAAAUUAUAUGAGCAAAUAAAUAAAGAACUUUGAGAUACCUGACCGUAAGUACUUGUUCAAAAGUAGUAUUUCUUCAAGUGUACUGCAUUCCGAUUGGAAGGUAACACUUUUCUGUCUAUGGUCUCCAAUUCGUAUACUCUUUUCCCAACAAUUCCUCGAACUUGAUAUGGUCCUUCCCGAUUUGGACAUAAUUUUCCUGCAUUUAUCACUUCUGUUGACUGAAACACUUUCUUAAGGAUGAAGUCCCCAAUCUUAAAAUAUCGAAGAUUUGCUUUCCUGUUGUAAUAUCGUUCAAUCCUUUGCUUUUGCGUUGUCAUCCGUAUUAAAGUUGAUUCCCUUCGCUAUUCUGCAAAAAUUCAAAUUUGUUUGAAGUUCUUCCUUAUUCGAUUGGUCAUUUGCAAGUUCAAGCCUCAGGCUCGGUUUUCCUAUUUCUACUGGAAUUAGUGCCUCAGUAUCAUAAACAAGUGAAAAUGGUAUUUCCCUCCGUGCCUUUUUUUUGUCGUUGUUUUAUAGGCUCAUAAUACCCAGGUAGUACGUCAGGCCACCUGCCUUUUGAUGCUUCCAAAUGCUUUUUUAUAUUGUUGACAAUGGUUUUAUUUGUCGACUUCGCUUGUCCAUUAGCUACGGGGUGAUAUGGUGCUAAAGAAAUCCUUUUGAUUUUUCAUCCUUUGAAAAAAUUAGUGACCUUUGCUCUCACAAAUUGUGGUCCAUUAUCACAUACAAUUUCUCUUGGAACCCUGAAUCUACAUAUUAUAUUUCUCCGGAUGAAGUCGAUAACUUCCUUUUCUCGUACCUGUUUGAAGGCACCUGCUUCAACUCACUUAGAAAAAUAAUAACUUAAAAUUAAUAAAAACUGCACCUUUUUGGUGCUUGCGGCAAAGACCUACGAUAUCCAUUCCCUAUUUCAUAGACAGCUACGAUGCGAUAAAUGAAUAAAGCAAUUCUAAUGUUUGAUGCAUAUUAUUUUCAUAUUGUUAGCAUUUAAUGCACCUUUUUACAAAGUUUCCCGCCUCGUCUUCCAUUUUUUGCCAGUAAUACCCUGCUCUUACUAGCAUUUUCACUAGUGACCUUCCACUAGCGUGAUCUCCACAAUAUCAUUCAUGUACCUCUUGCACUAUGUAUUCAGUUUGUGAGGGCCCAAGGCAUCGAUCUAAGGGUCCACCAAACAUCUUUCGAUACAAAUUGCAUUCUAUUAAACAAUAUCGAGCUACUUCCAUUCGUAACCAUUGGGAUUGUUUUUAUCCUCAUGUAUCCAUAAUUCAAAUAAUUCAUGAAUUUAAUUCUCCAAUCCCACGUUAAAUUAUUAAAAUUUACCUCAUUCUUGGCUUGAUCAAGCACUGAGUGGAAUAGAUGCACUAUGAUUGUAUUUUUGUAUUUGACACGUCGGCUACUGCUCCCAGGGUUUCCUAUGCAUCAACUUACGCAUUCUUUUCUCUUGGAAUUUGAAUUUCUUUCCACAAUCGGAAUUGGCGCAAUAAUUUCUAUACUUUUUUCAAGUAUUGCUGCAUUUGUGUUUCUCUAGACACGUAAUUCCCUUAAAUUCGAUUGACUACAAGUUGUGAAUCGCAAUUGAUUUCAACCUGAUCAAUUCCCAUCGCUUUUCCAAGUUCCAAACCUGCAAUUACCGCCUCAUAUUCGGCUUCAAUAUUAGUUAUAGGGACAUUUUAUUGCAGGUCUAAUAAUUUCCUAUGAAGGUGAAGUCAAUACUCAAACUUGUUCCUUUUACAUUUGAGGAUCUAUCUUUGUAUAAUGUCCAAGUCCUCAGAUUAGAUCCGCUAAAUACCCGCACCUCAUUUUCAGCUUCAGGAAGGUACGCUCGAACUAAAAUCUGCUACCAAAUCGGGUAGUACCUGUGACUGUAUGGCAGUUCGAGGCUGAUAAACAAUAUGAUAUUCACUUAGUGUUAUUGCCCAUUUAGCUAAUCUUCCUGAUAAUUCAUGUUUAUGUAACGUAUUUCCUAAUGAAAAAGUAGUUACAACAGAAAUAGGAUGAUAUUAAAAAUAGGGUCGUAACUAUCUUGAUGUCAUUAUUAAUGCGAGUGCUAAUUUUCUAAAUAAGGAUAUCAUGUCUCCCCAUCCAACAAAGAGUUCCUAAUAUAGUAAAUUGGAGAUUGCGUGCUUUUUUCUUUUGGCACCAAUACCGCACUUACUGCCAUUCUGAUACAGCUAAGUAGAUGGGUAAUAUCUCUUCAUCCCUUGGCUUUGAUAAUAUAGGCAGUUUUGAUAGAUAUAAUUUCAAAUCUUUCAAAGCUUAUUGACAGUUAUCUGUCUAGUCAAAUUGAUUUUGAUUUUUCAAUAAUAAGAACAAUUUAAAACAUUUCUUUGAAGGUCUAUAUAUGAAUUUUCCCAAAGCUGCUACUCUUCCAGUUAAACUUUGUACUUCCUUUUACUCGUAAGUACAUCCGUUAUCUCUUCUAUUUCUUUAAUCUGAGCUGGAUAUACUUCGAUCCCAUGUUAUAAACAAGGAAACCUAAAAAUUUAUCUGAGGCUACACUGAAGGCGUACUUAUCUGGGUUCAGCUUCAUGUUGUACUUGCGAAGUAUGUCAAAGGUUUCAUUCAAAUGUCUGAGAUGAUCUUUUGUUUACGGUGAUUUUACUAACAUGUCAUCGAUGUAGACUUCCAUUAUUUUUCCCAAAUAGUCUUAAAAUAUUUUGGUCACCAACCUCUGAUACGUGGCUCCAUCAUUUUUCCAAGCCAAAAGACAUGACUUUGUAGCAAUAAGUCCCCAUAUAUGUAAUAAAAGAAGUUUUUUCGUCGUCUAGGGGAUCCGUUUUAUUUGACUAUAUCCAGAAUAAGCAUCUAAGAAACUUAAAAGUUUAUGACCAGCAGUAGAAUCAAUUAAUUGAUCUAUAUGUGGCAAAGAAAAUGAAUCUUUAGGGCAUGCCUUAUGUAGAUCAGUAUAAUCUACACAUACUUCCCACUUUCUAUUUUUCUUUGGCACUACAACAAUAUUGGCUAACCAGUCGCGGUACUUUACCUCACAAAUUGAACCAAUUUUCAGAAGUUUAUUGUAACGACUCGACUGGUCGUUUUGUGUAUUUGAGCUCCAUUUCCCCUUUUGAUGCUUCACACAUGUGAAUUUAUGGUUUUAUGACUUGCAGGGUUGGUUAGUUUCGUUUUUGAAAGAUUUUGGGUUGAUUUUGACCCUUGGUUUUGGCUUAGAAGUCUUAGUUAGAAAUGUUGAUCAAAGGUUGACUUUUGUAAAAAUGACUUUAGAACGGUGUUUUGAUGGCUCUGAUAGGUUCAUAUCGUGAUUUAGGACUUGAGCGUAUGCCUGGAAUCAAAUUCGGGGGUCAGUAGGUUAUUUUAUGUUGUUUUGCUGAAAGUUGGCAAUUUGAAGUUUAGAAGAAUUUUCAAGUUUGACCACAGGUUCUUUUGGCUAUCGGGUUCCGAAUUUGGUUUUGGAAUUUGGAAUAAGUCUAUUAUGCUAUUUAUAACUUGUCUACAAAUUUUGGUUUCAUUUGGAGUUGGUUUGAUAGGAUACGGACUCUUGGUUACAAUUCUAGAAAAUCUUGAACUUUUCUUUGAAAUUCAUGUGUUUUGAUGUAUGAUUUGUAAUUCUAGAGGUUAUUUUUGUGUUUCAAUCGUACGAGUGAGUUUGUAUGAUAUUUUUAGACUUUUUUGGAUGUUUGGUUUGGAGCCCGCAGGGCUCGGAUGAGCUUCAGACGUAUUUCAAAAAGGUUUGGACUGAAAUAGGAUUUUCUGGUGUGCUGGUGCUAUGAUGCCACAAUUGCGAGCACCAGCCUCGCAAUUGUGAAGUGGGAAAGGGAGAUUAGAUAUUGCAAAUGUGACUUUUCCCUUUGAAUUUGCGAAGAAAGUACAGGUCUGGGUUGGGUCACAUUUGCGACCAAUUGGUCGCUUUUGUGAAGAAAGUCAGCUUUGCAAUUGCGAAGCCUUGUCGCAAUUGUGAUGUCUUAAGAGGCUAUCAGGGUUCGCAAUUGCGAUACCUGUUCCACAAUCACAAAGGUUCGCGAAUGUGAACUCAAGGCCGUAUUUGCAAUAUCUGCAGCUAAUCAAAAGGGUUGGGAGUUUGGAUUUAAGUCUCAUUUUUCAUAUUUCAGAACCCUAGAAUUGGUAGGAGGCGAUUUGGAGAGGGGAUUAUUUUCUGCAAAUAUUAGGUAAGUGAUUCUAAUUAAUUUCCAACUAUAUUUCAUGAUUAUAUCUUAGAUUUAACAUCAAAUUUAUGAUAAUUAAAGAAUAAAAUUGGAGAGUUAUGUCAAAGUUUUGAAAAAUGAAGAUUUGAGUUUUGAGAGUUGAUUUGGACUCUGAUUUUAAACAAAACACAUAUAUGGACUCGUGGGGUUACUUUAUCUAUUGUAAUUGGUUUCCCUUGCAUUUUUUGAUCCUAUUAAAUUGUUUUUGGUUAGAUUUGAGUCGUGUGGAGGCAAAUUUUAGGGGAAAAGCUAUUUUCAAGGGUUGAUUUGACCUAGUUGAGGUAUGUAUCUUGCCUAGCUUUAUGUGGGGGAACUACCCCUUAGGAUUUGGGUUGUUGUGUAUUAAUCAUACUAUGUGUAAAAUGUGUACACAAGGUGACGAGUGUGUAUACGGGUUAUAUGUGGUAUUUUGACCGGUUUAGACUUUUUGACUUUUUUCAUGCAUUUAAUUAAAUUUUUUAUAACAUGUUAUAUCCUUCAUUGUUAAAUUUACUCUCACAUGCUCUAAUUGACAUUGUUAGUGUUUAUUCUAUCCUUUUUUGUUGUAAGUGCUCUCAUAUGCUUUAGUUGAAGUUACUACCUCUCUUCUUGUCUUGUUACUCCUUUAUUAUUAAAUUAUUGAAGUUGUUAUUUCGUGGAAUAUCUUCUUGUUAGGUUAUUGAUGUUGAAGUUAUGGAAGCCAUUAUAACAUUAAGGUUGAAGUUGUAAAUUGUUCAGAUAUCUUUCCUUUGAGUGUCCCUCAUUCAUUUGUUGUUAUUGAGAUUUUUGUACACACUGUGGUUGAGCCAUGGGCUAUUUGUUGUGGUAAUAUUGGUAUUGUUGAUUUUGGCAAGUUGUGGCAUAUGGGCACAUGUAGUGCGAGUUGUUAUUAUGUUGUGGUAUUGAUACGCAUGCGGUGGUACAAGGAUAGGGGUUGAUAUGCAUGCGGUGAGAUAAGGUGAGAUUUAUACGUGUGUUGCUAGUAAGGGAAUUACUUAAAGCCACGUGGUGAGAUAAUGGGGCUAAAAAGUGUGUAGCUAUUUCGGGAAAGGAGUUUUCAAAAAUAAAUGCAAGGCUUAUGCGGUGAUAUAAGUAAAGGUUGUGAUUUUAAAUUGGGAAAUGUGGAAAUGAGGCGGUACCUCGGUUGUGAUUCUUGUUGUGCAUUCUAUGUUAAAGAGGCUUGUUGGUUCAACAGUUUGUUAUCUCUUUAUUUGUCUUACUUGUACUUGUCAUAUUGAUUUCUUGAUGUUCUUAUCAUGUGCUCACUCAUUUUUGCCUUUAUUUCUUUAAAUUCCGUUGUUAGCUUACAUUAUUGAUCUGCUUUAUUGUCAUUUUUUUCCUCCUCGUCCAUUAUUUGCUUGUACUUUACCUUGUUUAGUCUCUUAUCCUAGUAGGUGUCUUGACUUAGUCUCUCACUUCUCUACCGAGGUUAGGCUUGAUUCUUACUGGGUACCAUUGAGGUGUACUCAUACUACGCUUCUGCACAUUUUUGUGCAGAUCCAGGUACUUCACCUCAUGCUAGGCAUCAGUUAUUUGACCAUACAUUUCAAAGACUUCAAGGUAUAGCAGCUUUGCGCUUGCAGGCCUCGGAGUCACCUUUUGUCCUUACUUUUACUACUGUUUACUCUUCAUUUAGAUAGUAUUGUACUAGGGAUUUUCAGUAUAUCUUCAUAGAACUUAUGACUCAGUUCCACCGGUUUUGGGAGUUUUGUUACAGAUGUUUUGUUUGGAGUUAUUGUGAGUUUUAUCGAUUUAUCUUUUUAUCUUAGUUGUUAAUUCUGUUAAGAUAUCAAUAAAUGUUAGGCUUACCUAGUCUUAGAGACUAGGUGCCAUCAAAACAUCCUAAGGUGGGAAAUUGGGGUCGUGACAAGUUGGUGUUAGAGCUCUUGGUUCAUAGGUCCUACGAGUCAUAAGCAAGUCUAGUAGAGUUUUAUGGAUCGGUAUGGAGACAUCUGUACUUAUCUUCGAGAGGUUACAGAACUAUUAGAAAAUUCCACUCCUUUGAUUCUUUAUCGUGCAAAUUUGUUGACUUUGAAAUCUGAAUCUUUAUCUUUCUAUUCUCUCACAGAUGGUGAGGACACACACUACUGGAUCAGAAAAUCAGACACUUACACCUCCUGCUAGAGUCGCGCGAGGUUGGGGCCGGUGUAGAGGCUGAGGAGGGGCAUGUGUUGCAGCCAGAGCACCUGUCCGAGCAGCGACUGAUGAGCCACCAAUAGCUCCAGUUGGGGGACAGUCACCUGAGACACUUGUUGUUGCCCCUGGACUUUAGGAGACCCUAGCAUAGUUUUUGAACAUGUUCGAAACUCUAGCUCAGGCGGGAUUGAUUCCCAUUGCACCAGCCACAUCUCAGGCUAGGGAAGGAGCUCAAACUCCUGUGACUCAUACCCUAGGGCCUGAGGUUCUGGGUCCACAUUGAUUAGGUUCUGGGUGUCAUGCCAGAACAACUCGUUAUACCAGUUCGGCCUGAGGUUAGGCGAGAGGCAUCUAAGGAGGAGUAGAGAAGAAUUGAGAGGUUCAAGAAGUAUGAUCCUCCUAUAUUCAAUGGCACAGCUAGCGACGUUGCUUUGGGUUUUCUAGAGAGGUGUCAUUGUAUUCUCCGCACCGUGGGCAUUGUGGAGAUGAGUGGAGUUGCUUUUACUAUAUUUUAGUUGUUAGGAGCAGUGUAUUGGUGGUGACAAUCUUAUGAGGAGGGUAGGCCAGCUGAUGCAGACCCACUGGCUUGGGAUCAGUUUUCAGAGAUAUUUUUGAGAGAGUUUGUUCCCCUAAUCCUUCGUGAUGAAUGGCGCACAGAGUUUGAGCAGCUGCUUCAGGGGACUAUCAGAGCAUGCUAUCAGGUUCAGUGAGUUUUCUCGACAUGCACCUACCUUGGUUUCUACAGUUAGAGAGCAACUCCGCAGAUUUAUCGAGGUGCUCAACUAUGGUCUUAGAUUCAAUAUGGCUCGAGAGUUGGAGACGGAUACACUGUAUCACAGGUGUUAGAGAUUACACAUAGGUUGGAAGGUAUGCGAGGUCGUGAGAGAGAGGACAGGGAGGCUAUGAGGCCUCGCGAUUCAGGAGGAUAUAGUGGUGCCCGCACUCUAGUUGCAAAUCGUCAUGGCAGAGGCUAUGUGCGCCACCCAUUUUAUUUAGCACUUCUAGCUACUAGCAGUGCUCCUGCUAUUCCAAGGUCCCAAGUUGCCUAUUUUGCUCAGUUACUUUCUAAUGCACCUCUUGAAUGGGAUGCCUUCAGUGGUGAGUCUAGCCGACCAGGCCAAGGUUAGUUUCAGUAGCCACACCCACCGAGAGCGUUUUUUGAGUGUUGUGAUACCAAACAUUGGUGAGGGACUACCCCAGACUUUGGAGGGGUGUAUCUCCACAGACUACAUAGUUUCCACGGAUUCCACAGGGCCUACAAGGUUCGCAGGUCAUAGUUGUUGCUCAAGUUGCCAUUCCACCUGCCCUACAAGCUAGGGGUGAAGGUCAGGCGGGUAAAGGUUGCCCUAGAGGGGGAGGCCAGGCUCGUUUCUAUGCUUUUAUCGAUAGAUCAGAGGUGGUUGCAUCGGAUGUUGUCAUCACACGUAUGGUUUUGGUUUGUCAUAGGGAUGCCUCAGUCUUAUUUGAUCCGGGAUCCGCUUAUCCGUAUGUGUCAUCUUACUUUGCUCCAUAUUUCUCAUGAUUCUUUGAGUUCUCCUAUAUAUGAGUCUAUGCAUAUGGGAGAUUCUAUGGUUGUGGACCGUGUUUAUCGAUCAUGCUUAUUCGAUGUAGGUGGUUUUGAGACCAGAGUUGAUUUAUUAUUACUCAAUAUGGUAGUCUUUGAUAUGAUCUUGUGCAUGGAUUUGUUUUCACCCUAUCAUGCUAUUUUGGAUUGCCACGCCAAGACCGUGACAUUAGCUAUGCCAGGUUUGCCGCGGUUGGAGUGGAGGGGCAUAUUGGAUUAUAUUCCUAGCAAGGUUGUGUCAUUCCUUAAGGAACAGCGGAUGGUUGAGAAGGGUUGUAAAGCAUAUCUAUCCUUUGUAAGGGAUGUUAGUGCUGAUACUCCUACCAUUUAGUCGGUUCCGGUAGUGAGGGAUUUCCCAGAUGUGUUCCCAGCAGACCUUCCGGACAUGCCACGUGAUAGAGCUAUCGAUUUUUGUAUUGACCUAGUGUCGGACACUCAGCCCAUUUUUAUUCCAUCAUAUCGUAUGGCACCAACGGAGUUGAAGGAGUUAAAGGAACAACUAUAAGAGUUUCUUGAUAAGGGUUUCAUUUGGCCUAGUGUUUCACCUUGGGUGUUCCAACUCUGUUUGUGAAUAAGAAGGAUGGUACUAUGCGGAUGUGUAUUGGUUAUAGACAGUUGAACAAGGUUACAGUGAAGAACAAAUACUCACUACCAUGCAUUGAUGACUUAUUUGCCCGGCUUCAGGGUGCCACUGUUCUCGAAGAUUGAUUUGCAAUCAGGGUAUCAUCAGCUGAAGAUUAAGGAUUCGGAUAUUCCGAAGACUGCUUUCAGGACUCGGUAUGGUCACUACAAGUUCCUCGUGAUGUCAUUUGGGCCGACCAAUGCCCCAACAACAUUUAUGCACCUGAUAAACAGUGUAUUCCAGCCAUAUCUUGACUCAUUCAUCAUUGUGUUUAUUGACAACAUCUUAGUAUAUUCUCACAACUGAGAAGACCAUGAGCAGUAUCUAAGGAUCCUGCCCCAGACCUUGAGGAAGAAGAAGUUAUAAGCAAAACUCUCUAAGUGUGAAUUCUGGCUUGAUUCGGUGGCAUUUUUGGGUCAUAUGGUGUCUAGUGAGGGGAUCAAAGUAGAUCCAAAGAAGAUUGAGGCAGUUCAGAGUUGGCCUAAACCAUCUUCAUCUACUGAGAUUCAGAGAUUCCUUGGUUUGGCUGGACAUUUUCGCCAUUUUGUAGAGGGUUUCUCAUCAAUUUUUGCACCUUUAACCAGAUUGACCCAGAAGGCUGCUCCUUUCAGAUGGUCUGAGGAGUAUGAGGCGAGCUUUCAAAAGUUCAAGACUGCAUUGACUACAGCCCCAAUAUUGGUGUUGCCUACGGGUUUGGGGUCUUACACUGUGUAUUAUGAUGCGUCAUGUAUCAGACUUGGCGCGAUACUGAUGCAAGACGGUAGGGUGAUUGCCUAUGCGUCUCGGCAGUUGAAGGUUCAUGAGAAGAAUUACCCAGUCCAUGACUUGGAAUUGACAACUAUUGUUCACGCAUUGAAGAUUUGGAGGCAUUAUCUGUAGGGUUUCCCAUGUGAGGUCUAUACCGACCACCGGAGUCUCCAACAUCUAUUCAAGGAGAAAGAUCUUAAUUUGCAGCGGCUGAGGUGGUUAGAGUUGCUGAAAGACUAUGAUAUCAUUAUUUUAUAUCAUCCCUGGAAGGAUAAUGUGGUGUUCGAUGCCUUGAGUAGAAAGGAAGAGAGCAUGGGUAGUUUGGCAUACUUAUCGGCCAUAGAGAGGCCACAACCCAUGGAUGUUCACUCUUUGGCCAAUCAGUUUGUGAGACUGGAUGUUUCGGAGCCCAACCAGGUUCUUUCUUGUGUGGUUUCUCGGUCUUCUAUAUAUGAGUGCAUCAUAGAGCGUCAGUAUGAUGACCCCCAUUUGCUUGUCCUUAUGGACACAUUACAGUACGGCGAUGCCAAGGAUGUUUCUAUUAGAGAUGGCAAGGUAUUGCAGAUGCAGGGUCGGAUUUGUGUGCCCAAUGUGGAUGGGGUGAGUGAGUUGAUUCUUGAGGAGGCCCACCGCUUGUGGUAUUCUAUUCAUCCAGGUGUCAUUAAGAUGUAUCAGGAUUUGAGGUAGCAUUAUUGGUGGAGAAGAAUGAAGAAAGAUAUAGUGGAGUUUGUGGCUCGGUGCUUGAACUAUCAGCAGUUGAAGUAUGAGCAUUAGAGGUCGGGCGGUUUGCUUUAGAGACUUGAGAUUCCCAAGUGGAAGUGGGAGCGUAUUACUAAGGAAUUCAUUGUUGGACUCCUACCUACUUUGAAGAAAUUUGAUGCAGUAUGGGUGAUUGUGGAUAGACUGACCAAGUCGGCACAUUUCAAUCCAGUGGUGACCACCUAUUCUUCAGAGCAGCUAGCUCAGAUCCACAUCCAAGAGAUUGUAUGUCUCCAUGGCAUACCAAUGUCCAUAAUCUCCGAUCGAGGUACACAGUUCACGUCACAUUUUUAGAGAGCCGUGCAAGGUGAGCUACGCACACGGGUUGAGUUUAGUACAUCAUUUCACUCCUAGACGGACGGACAGUCUGAGCACACCAUUCAAAUCUUGGAGGAUAUGCUACAAGCUUGCGUUAUGGAUUUCAGGGGUUCUUAGGAUCAAUUCUUGCCGCUUGCAGAAUUUUCCUACAAAAACAUCUACCAAUUGAGUAUUCAGAUGGCUCCUUAUGAGGUUUUAUAUGGGAAGCAAUGUCGUUCUCCAGUUGGUUGGUUUAACCUGGGAGAGGCUAGGUUAUUGGUCACUGAUUUGGUUCGGGAUGCCUUGGAGAAAGUCAAGUUAAUUCCGGAUCGACUUCGUACAACGCAUUCUAGAUAGAAGAAUUAUGCUGAUCGAGGGCUCGUGAUGCAGCAUUUAUGGUGGGAGAGAGGGUUUUGCUUCGGGUUUCACCCAUGAAGGGUGUGCUGAGGUUAGGGAAGAAGUGCAAGUUGAGUCCUAGGUAUAUUGGCCGUUGGAGAUCCUUGAGAGAGUUGGUGAGGUGGACUACAAGCUUGCAUUGCCACCCAAUUUAUCGACAGUUCAUCCGGUGUUCCAUGUUUCCUUGCUCGGGAAGUAUUAUGGUGAUCUGUCCUAUGUAUUAGAUUUUAUCUCAGUCCAAUUGGACAAGGAUUUGACUUAUAUUGAGGAGCCGGUGGCCAUCUUGGACCGACGGGUCUGAAAAAUAAGGUCAAAGAACAUUGCUUCGGUAAAGGUUCAAUGGAGGGGUCAUAUGCUCGAGGAGGUGACCUGGGAGACCAUGCACGACAUGCGGAGUUAUUAUCCUCUCCUUUUCACCACUUCAGGUAUGUCACUAUGCACUUUCAAGGACGGACAUUUGUUGUAAGAGGAGGAGAAUGUAAUAACCCGGCCAGUGGUUUUGAUUAUUGAGCCCCAUUUCCCCUUUUGGUGCUUCACACGUGCAUUUGUGGUUUUAUCACUUGCGGGGUUGGUUAAUUUCGUUCCGGGAAGAUUUUAGGUUUAUUUGGACCUUUGGUUCUUGGCUUAGAAGUCUAAGUUAGAAAUAUUGACAAAAGGUUAGCUUUUGUGAAAACAACCCUGGACCGGUGUUUUGAUGGUUCCAAUAUAUUUGUAUCAUGAUUUGGGACUUGGGCGUAUGCCCGGAAUCGAAUUCGGAGGUCCGUAGGUUGAUUUGUUUUAUUUUCCUGAAAAAUUGGCAAUUUGAGGUUUUGAAGAAUUUCUAAGUUUGACCAUAGGUUGACUUUUGGCUAUGAGGUUCGGAAUUCGGUUUUGGGACUUGGAAUAGGUCUGUUAUGCUAUUUAGAUAUUGUCUGCAAUAUUUGGUGUCAUUUGGAUUUGGUUUGAUAUGAUUCGGACACUUAGUUGCAAUUCUAGAGAUUUUUGAACGUUUCUUUGAAAUUCAUGCAUUUUGAUGUUUGAUUCGUAGUUCUAGAUGUUAUUUGUAUGUUUUGAUCGUGCGAGCGAAUUCGUAUGAUGUUUUUAUACUCUUUUGGAUGUUUAGUAUGGAGCCCCAAGGGGGCUCGGAUGAGUUUCGAACCUAUUUCAUAAAGGUUUGGACAGAAACAAGAUUUUCUGGUGUGUUGGUGCUCUGAUGUUGCAAUUGCGAGCACCAGCCUCAUAAUUGUGAAGUGGGCAGGGGAGCUCAGAUGUCGCAAAUGCGGCUUUCCCUUCACAUUUGCGAAUACAGUACAUGCUUGGGUUAGGUCUCAUUUGCGACCAAUUGGUCGCUUUUGCGAAGAAAGUCAGCUUUUCAAUUGCGAAGCCUUUGUCGCAAUUGCGAUAUCUAAAGAGGCUGCCAGGGUUUGCAAUUGCGAUCCCUAUUUCAAAAUUACGAAGGUUUGCAAACACGAACUCAAGGUCGCAUUGCUAUAUCAGCAGCUGAUCAAAACGGUUGGGAGUCAAGAUUUAGGUCUCAUUUUUCAUAUCUUAGAACCCUAAACUCGGUAAGUGGCGAUUUGGAGAGAGAAUUUUCAUCUCAAAAUAUUAGGUAAGUGAUUCUAAGCACUUUCCAACUAUAUUUCAUGAUUAUAUCAUAAAUUUAACAUCAAAUUUAUGAAAAUCAAAGAGGAAAAUUAAGGAUUUUUAUCAAAGCUUUGAAAAAUGAAGAUUUGAAUUUUGAGAGUCGAUUAAAAGAGGCUUGUUGGUUGAACAGUUCGUUAUCUCUUUAUGUGUUUUACUUGUAUUUGUCCGUAUUGAUUUCUUGAUGUUCUUAUCAUGUGUUCACUCUUUGUUGCAUUUAUUGCUUUAAAUUCUGUUGUUAUCUUACACUAUUGAACUAUUUUAUUGUCAUUUAUUUCCUCGUCUUCCAUUAUUUUCUUGUACUUUACCUUGUUCGGUCUCUCUUAUCCUAGUAGGUGUCUUGACCUGACCUCGUCACUACUCUACUAAGGUUAGGCUUGAUACUUACUAGGUACCAUUAUGGUGUACUCAUACUAUACUUUUGCAUAUUUUUGUGCAGAUCCAUGUACUUCGGCUCAGGCUAGGAAUCAUCGAUUUGACCAUAUAUUUCGGAGAUUUCAAGAUAUAACUGCUUGGUGCUUGCAGGCCUCAGAGUCACCUUCUGUCCUUACUUUUACUACUAUUUGCUUUUCAUUUAGACGGUGUUGUACUAGGGAUUUUCAGUAUAUUUCUGUACAACUUAUGACUCAGUUCCACCGGUUUUAUGAAUUUUGUUACAGAUAUUCUGUUUUGGAGUAAUUAUGAGUUUUAUCGAUUUAUCUUAUUAUCUUAGUUUCUAAUGUGGGAAAUUGGGUCAUGAUAGUUAUUUACCUCCUCUUGAAUUACGUGAUUUUUGAAUACUCCAUGUUUUCUCUUCUUUUGCUUCACUGGAGGGUGUAAUGGAUCUUCAUUCAACUUAUGAGUCAUUACCUCCGGUGAGAUACCAGUCAUAUCUAAGGGCGACCAGACAAAACAAUCAGCGUUAGUGCGUAAACAAUUAACUUACUUUUCAACUUCGGGCUUAGGUUUUUCCCAACAUAGACUUUUCUCUCGGGCUAGUAAAUGAAUAAUACAACAACUUUGAGUUCUUCCAUAGUUAUUUUAAUAGUUUCGUUCUCCUCUGGCUCUUGGAUCAUGUCAAGUCUCGCAUUUAUAUCUGCUUCAUUCCCCGCACUUUUAGUUGAGGUAGAAAAUAAAUUCUUCUCAGCCGAACAAUGUAAUUUCUAUUUUUCAUCUUCAUCUUUGGAUGGUUUGCUCGCCACAGCAACUGCGUUGGUUUCUCAUGACGCUUGUUGAUCUCCCCUGAUCUGACGAAUUCCCCACUGUGAUGGAAAUUUGAUAACCUGAUGCAAAGUUGACGGUACUGCAUCCAUGUAAUAAAUCUAUAGCCUUCCUAAAAUUAUGUUGUAAGCCAUGUAUGCAUCCACCACUUGGAAUUCGGUGUCUUUCACGACACCCUUAGUAAAUAUAGAUAGUAUAAUUUUUCCUUUUGUUAUUUCACUAGAAUUAACGAACCCAAACAAAGAUCGAGCUGUGGGUAUCACGCGAUCAGUUGCUUGCAUCUCAUCGACCACUCUUAGUAAUAUGAUAUUCACAGAGCUACCUGGAUCAAUCAAAACUCGCUUGACAUUAGUAUCAUGAACAAGUAAAGAAAUUACCAGCGCAUCAUUAUGAUGGAUGAACAAGCCAUCUAUAUCCUCAUCGUCAAAUCUUAUGAUAUCUCCUUCCAAGACUUAUCGAAUCCGCUUUCUGUGGGUCACUAAAAUUUUGGUUGUUCUUUUUGAUGUCAUGUAUGUAACUCCAUUAACCUCCUCAACCUCGGUUAUUACAUUCACCAUCCGUUUUUGGCGAUGGAGGCUUCGAUGGUUCUUCCCUAUUUUUCAUAUAAGACUGCUUUCUUUUCUCACUAAAUAGAUCAGUGAGAUAACCCUUUUUAGGAAAGAAUCAACCUCCGCUUAUAAGAUCCUGCAAUCUGAUAUUCUGUGAACGUGAUCAUUAUGGAAUUUACACCAGAAUUCCUGACUUCUUUUUCUAGGAUCUGAUCUCAUCUCUUUAGGCCACCGCACCUUAUUACCCAUGCCUCUUAACACAUCUACUAAAUCAAAAGUGCUAAAGUUGAAAUUGUAAUCUCCUAUUUUUGAUCAAAAAUUUUGAUCGUUGAUUUUUGUCAUACCCCGUUCCUUUCCAAAUCGAGAAGAAGAACCUACCUCCUUUUGUCGUGAUCUUUGAUCAAACCGUGCAUGUUCUGGUUAUGGCUUAAGAUCUCGCCCCGCAGGUCCCAUGUAAGGUUCGUACCUAUUUUUUCUAGAUCUCCUUUUUGGUCUGACCAUCUAGAUCCGAACCUCUCCUCCACCUUUGGUUGGGAUACCUUAUCUUUCUCUAGUCAUAACUUUGUGCUAUACCUGUUAUAAAUAUCAUUCCAAGUAGUUACAGGAAAUUCAUGUAAACUCUUCUUUGAUCUUCCUGUAGCUUUUGAAAUUCUCUCGUUCAGGUUGCUGGCAAAUGCCAUUGUUGUCCAACUAUCAGGUACACGAGGUAACAUCUUCCUUUAACGCCGGAAUCGAUCCAUGAAUUCUCAGGGCAAUUCUGUACUUUCAUGUUUCAUCUCGAAUAUAUAUAUUCCAUUCUUUUUCUACUUUUUUAGCUCCCAAAUAUGUUUUUAUGAAUGAAUCCGCAAGCUCAGCAAAAGAGCCAAUUAAAAUUUCAGGUAAGAGAGAGUACCAUAUUAGUGCCCCUUUCAUAAGGGUUUCACAAAAACUUUUCACCAACACAGAUUCAAUUUCCUGCUUUGUCAAAUCAUUGCCUUUACUCCUGUAGUAAAUGUAAUAACGUGAUCUCGUGUGUCACGAUCCUAAUUUCCCAACUUAGGAUGUCGUGAUGGCACCUAGUCUCUAAGACUAGGUAAUACUAACAUUAAUUGAUAGCUUAACAGAAUUAACAAAUAAGAUAAUAAGAUAAUUUGAUAAAACUCAUAAUAACUCCAAAACAGAACAUCUGUAACAAAAUUCCCAAAACUGGUGAACUGGGUCAUAAGCUCUACAGAGAUAGUCUAAAAACCUCUAAUACAAGACUGUCUGAGUAGAAGAUAAACAACAGUAAAAACAAUGACUGAAGGUGACUGAGGCCUGCAAGCACCAAGCAUGUAUACCUUGAAGUCUCCGGAAUGUAUAGCCAAAUCACUGAUGCCUAGUCUGAGAUGCAGUACCUGGAUCUGCACAAAAAUAUGUAGAAGUAUAGUAUCAUUACCCCACAACGGUACCCAGUAAGUAUCAAGCCUAACCUCGGUCGAAUAGUAAUAAGGCCAAGUCAAGACACCUGCUAGGAUAAGAGAAACUUAACAAGAUAUAGUAUAGGCAAAUAAUGGAAGACGAGGAAAUAAAUGACUAUAAAGUAGUUCAGUAACGUAAGCUAACAACGGAACUUAAAACAAUAAAGGCAUCAAGGAGUGAACACAUGAUAGGAACAUAGAAAACAAUACGAACAGAAUUAAGGAAAAUAAAGAGAUACUAAAAUUGUUCAACCAACAAGCCUCUUUAACAUGGAAUGUACAAAAAGAAUCACAACUAGGGUACUACCUCAUAUCCGCAUUUUAUAAUUCAAAAUCGCAACAUUUCCUUAUACCGUCACAUGAGCCUUACAUUAAGAUAUUUUUUAAAACAUUUUUUCCUGAAAUAACUACACGCAUUUUAGCUCCCUUAUGUCACCGCGUGGCUUCAAGCAAUUCCCUUACUAGCAACACUCACAUAAAUUACCACCUUAUGCUGCCGCAUGCAAAUUAACUCAUAUCCUUAUACCGUCGGAUGCGUAUCAAUAUCACAAAAUAAUAACAAUAUGCCAAACUCAACAAUACCAAAGUUACCACAACAUAUAGCUCACGGCUCAACCACAAUACGAACAAGAAUCUCAAUAACAACAAAAUGAGUGAGAAUUUCUCAACAAGGAAAGAUAUCUCAAUAAUCAACAACUUCAAACAAGAAAAAACCAA